UUUUUUGAACGGUAAUCUUGAAGAGAGCAUCUAUAUGUCUCAACCAGAGGGGUUUAUAAAACAAGAUCAAGAACAAAAGGUUUGUAAGCUUAAAAAAUCCAUUUAUGGAUUAAAACAAGCUUCUAGAUCCUGGAAUAUAAGAUUUGAUAUUGCGAUCAAAAUCUUAUGGCUUUGAACAAAAUGUUGACGAGCCUUGUGUUUACAAAAGGUCGUCAAUUCCAUUAUAGCAUUUUUUAGUCUUAUAUGUAGAUGAUAUUCUACUUAUUGGAAAUGACGUAGGAUAUCUUACUGAUAUCAAGAAAUGGCUAGCUAUGCAAUUUCAAAUGAAAGAUCUGGGAGAUGCACAAUACGUUCUCGGAAUCCAAAUUGUUCGAAACCGUAAGAACAAAACACUAGCCAUGUCUCAAGCAUCUUACAUAGACAAAAUGUUGUCUAGAUAUAAAAUGCAGAAUUCCAAAAAGGGUCUGCUGCCGUACAGAUAUGGAAUUCAUUUGUCAAAGGAACAAUGUCCUAAGACACCUCAAGAAGUUGAGGAUAUGAGAAAUAUUCCCUAUGCUUCCGCUGUUGGAAGUUUAAUGUAUUCAAUGUUAUGUACUAGACCUGACAUUUGCUACUCAGUAGGGAUGGUCAGUAGGUAUCAAUCCAAUCAUGGACGUGAUCACUGGACAGCCGUUAAAAACAUUCUACAUGCUCAUGUAUCGUACAAAGGAUAUGAUCCUUACUGGAUACACUGAUUCGGAUUUCCAAACUAAUAAAGAUGUUAGAAAGUCUACAUCAGAAUCAGUAUUUACUCUAAAUGGAGGAGCAGUAGUUUGGAGAAGCAUAAAGCAAACUUGUAUAGCUGAUUCCACAAUGGAAGCUGAUCAUUUUACAAAAGCCCUCACGGCUAAAGUGUUUGAGGGUCACCUACACAGUUUAGGUGUACGAUGUUUGUAAACUAGGACAAGUGGGAGACUUAUUGGCCAUGUUUCAUAUAUAUUCUCUCACACCACAUCUCUCAUACCACUAGGAAUUUUAGUCCAAGUGGGAGUUUGUUGGAAUUUUUUGUCCUAAAACUCGUAGUUUGUAAAUCAUAUUCUAUUCAAUAAAGUUGUUAUUGAGAAAUUAAAUAUUAUAAUCUUAAAUCCAAUAAAUCAAAGUUCCAAGGCUAUUUUUUGAAUAAACUUGAACUUUAUGUGUAAACAUAAACGUGGAUCAAGUUCGAGUAUAUAGCCUAAAUAGUCUAUAGUAUAUGAAAUAAAGGUUGGGCGCCUUAUUUUGAGAGACUAUGGAUGCGGCCCACUUUGUAGUACAAACGAUGUGAUCCUAAUCGUUCAUGUAGAGACAUGAAAGUGGGGGCAUCCUAUGUAAAAUGUUUACAUAAGACUGAACCAUGAAUUAGUCAUUUUUACGUUAUAACAUCGUUUACUGUUUAAAACUGACUAUCUCAAUUAUUGAUGACCUAGGUAACUUAGUCUUAAUCCUGAGUUAACUAUGAACUCCUGUUCAUACGAGAUUAUCCUUAGAUCUGCAUAGGUGAGGGCAGCUCAUCAGCGUUGGCCCAAUAAGCCUCCCAUUUCAGGGGUAAGAUCGGGUGGAUAGCUGGGAACAUAGGGUACAAGAUGGAAUUCACUCCUACCCGCUUUAGGGUUAGUAGAUAGGUUGCUCUCUUAAGCACUAAAUCCAAGUCUUGAACAAGGGGCCCCACCCUCUCAUUGGCCCGAGAGGGAUUAAGUUUAUAGGUUGAACCUUAAACCAAUUGUUCAAUAGUGGAUUAGUGGGACUUAAGGAGCAAGAUGUAAUCUUGGGGGUAAAACGGUAUUUUGACCCAGCCAAGGUUACGAGCAACCUGUGAAGGAUUAACUUACUGAUUAUGGUUUUAUCAAAUGGACACAAAUAUAUCUAUAGUGAGGGGAGUGCAACUACGGGACUUUAGUGGAAUGACCCGUUAGUUAACGAAUGUUGAUUAACUCGGUUUAAAAGAGUUUAGCUAGUUAAUCUUGAAUCGUUGGAGCCCAUGAUCUAUAGGUCCAUUAGGUUCCUCUGCUAGCUCAUAUGGAUUAAACUUAGAACAGUGUGAUGAAAUAAGUCGAAUUGUUCGAAUUGGGAGAAGAAAGGAAAACCGACAUAUACAGUGAUAUAAUCGUCGAUCUUCUAAUUAGAAAUAGAGCUUUAUGUUUUACAUACUAUAAGUAUGAAUGCGGAUUCAUACUAAGAAGCUCGAAAUUGGUCAAAAAUAGUAAAAAGUCAAAAUGUUGACUUUUGACUUUGAAAAGUCAAACUUUGACCGGCCUUAUAUUCAAAUGUGAUUUGAAUUUUGGAAAAAUGAAUGCGGAUUCAUGCUCGGGAGGUUGGAAUUAGUCAAGACGGACAAAAUGGUAAAAAGUCAAAAUAUUGACUUUUGACUUAGAAAAGUCAAAGUUUGACUUUUGACUAGAAAAAUCUAAUGACCAUUUUACCCUUGGACUAAGUUAGUGGGAAAAUCCAACAUUUUGUUGGAUAAUCCCACUAACUCUUAGUGGGAUAUGUGGCUAUAUGAGAUAUAGACACCUAGCCCACUAAGUUCCACUAAUUGUUAGUGGAAUAUUAGGUGUUGAGAUUUGGCAAUUGAAUUGCAUGCAUUUUUGCAUGUAAUUAGGCUAUAAAUAGAGAUGUUUUCAAAUGUUGAAGGACUUUUGCCUCUUUUAUCAUUUUCAUAAUCUCAACAAAAGAAAAAAGAAAGCUUCCAAUCUCAUUUUAUCUCCAUUACUUUCUACACCAAAAUUGGGUCCCACAACCCGGUUCUUUGUCUAGAGGAUAGCAGUUGAGUACUAGUGGUGGUCUCGGGUAGAAUUGGUAAGAAGACAUCAAACCUUUUGAAAGCUUCAAAGGUAAUACUUCUUAAAACCCUAAUUUGAUUAGUUUAUAGUUACAUGUUAAUUGUGGCAAUUAGGGUAGAAAUUCGAUUCUUUUUCCGCUGUGCAUGACUUAGUUCUAUCAGCACACACACAUCUACACACACAUGCACACACGCAUACACGCACACACACAUACGCACACACACAUCAACUCACACGGGCAAACGCGCACUCGCACAUAUGCACACACACGCACACACGUACAUAUGCACAAAGAUGUGAAAAUGAAUUAAAUUUAAAAAACAAUUACAUUAAUUGUGUUUAGAAUGACUUUUAAACUAUAUUCAUUUAACUUAAUAACAUUAAUUAAAUUAUAAUUUCUAUUAAUAUUGAUUUAAGAGUGUCAUUACUGUAAUUAUAUCAAUAUAAUGCGGUCUUAUCCAAUUUUACCAACAAAAAACAAGUCAAAUAUGGACUAGUAAAUCCACACUCUUUGUCAUAAGAGAUAUAAUAACGUUUUUAUGGGUCAUUUUAAAAAAAAUGACAAAACAACUUUUUCUUUUGAAUUUUAGCAAAUAGCAUUUUUUAUUUGAAAAAGAUACAUCAACCCAUAAUAACACUACAACAAAUCUGGGUUUGUAGUGUCAGGUGAAAAAAAUGAAAAAUUAUCUUUAUUGUCGUUUUUGAAAAGGUGGAUCAAACCGACAUUAAUGAUAAGGGUUUAAUGUCGUUUUUAAAUCGACAUUAAUGAUCAGCCAGUUUUAUUUUUUUAAUUUUUUGUAUUUUGUAAAAAAGGACAUUAAUUACCCCCCAUUUUUAAUUUCUUUUUAAAAAAUUGUUAGGUUUUAAAAACUAAAUUUUUCAUCUCUUUCUUACUCUACUCUUUCCCUAUCAAUUUUUCUUUUCUUUCUCUCCAAGUUGGUUUCUAAUUUUGUUCUCUUCUCAAUCUGUGACCCUAGAUCGCGAACGGCAACCAAUCUUCAUCGUGCUUCCGCCGCAAAAAUCCUUGGGUUUCUUCAUUUGAUUGUUAACUUGUGACUGCUAGGUAGCAUUAUUGAUUAUUAAUUGUCUUUAUUUUUUCAAAUGUGCAGCCUUAUUCAUACUACCUUUUGUUAGAAAAAUGAAAGAAGAGAAGGCAUAGAAAUGAGCUUGGUAACUAGCAUUCUUGUAGGUGGAUUUGCCAAAAUGGAAAAUGUAGAGUAAGUAAUUUUGGUAUAGCUAUUUGGAGUGUUAUGUGAAGCACAAUAUCUUCAUAAUGUGAUGCGUUUUGGUUUUCGAUUGAGAUCAAUCUUGGUAAUUAAUUGUUUUGAAUUGUGUUUUAUUUUAUCUUUUAGUAGUAAAUGUUUUUGUUUUCUUUAGUUUAGUUUGAGUAUUAGUCUGUUUUGAUAUAUUUGUAGGUUGCAUCUAUUUAUCCAUAUAUUUAUCUUUGAUCAAUACCUAGCUAGUGGAGUCUCUUCUUUUUAUGGGCUUCCUUAUAUUCCAUGUUCUUUUACUAUAUAUUUGAGAUUUUCACCUUCCAUAAAUGAAAUAAAUUAACUAUUUUCAUUUGAAAAGAAAAACGAUCCAAUAGGAGUUUGUAAGAUUAUUUAUCAUCUCCAUUGUUUAACUUUCUCUAUAAAAACAAUGUUGCUAUUGAUGGGUAAAUUUAUACAAUUAAGAGUAAGAAGCCUAUAGACUAGCAUUGCUAAAUUGAACAUUCAAAAUUUGCUUUGAAGUAAGAGUCGAGGAUGGUAUAAUUAUUCUUUAGUUGUAUUCCUCUUUUUCUUAUAGAUCUUUGAAGAACCAAAUUAGGUUAUUUUCUUCUUCUUAAUGAGUUGUUUGAUCAAAGCUUAUUUUCUUCUUUAUUUUUGCAGCACUUUUGGGUUGCCAUUUCAAUUGUCUUCUUUGUUGCUGCUACAUUAUUUACUCUACUGAAACUUUGUGGUAAUUUUUAAUUUUCCACAUUUAGAUUGCAGUCUGUUUAGUUUGAUUUUAAAUAAUAUGUACUAAUUUUGCAAAUUCUAGAUUUAAUCUUCCCCAGGUUGUAAAGUAUAUUUUGGUCUUAGAUAGCCAGCCAAGACCAAUCUGACGGUGGAGAAUUUUCUUUGGAAGACUUGGGUUUCCGAGGGGUCUGCCGCCCUUGAUUUCGGCACCGUUAAGGCUAGAAGAAGAAGAAAGUGGUGGAUCGACGAGAUGGGUAUGUCGCAACAUAGAGUUUCUUGGCUGCUUCACGUUAGAGAGGAAGAGCGAAAUUUUGGAGGUAUAGGAAGAGCGAAACGGAAUUUGAGAGAUAGGAAAUCGCAGGGUUUGAGGAAGACGAAGAAGAGAAGGGGAGAUGAGAGGCAGAGUAAACCGAUCGAGAAGAAAAAGGGGAAAGAAAUUUGAAAUAAAAGAGACCGUUGAGGUUGAAGAAGAGGGGAAAGAAAAUUGACCGUGGAGGAGAAGCUUUUUUCGUUUAUUUGAUUUUUGUAUUAAAUAUUUUCUAUGAAAAUUAAAAAAGAAAAAGUUAAAAGGCAAAUAUUUUCUACUUUUUUUUUAUUUAUUCUAUGAAAACUCAAUAAUAAAAAAGCAUCUAUAUUUGCUUUUGGUAUGGUUCACAUUUUUAUUUAUUUGACAAAAAUCUAACUAAAUUAUCAUUCAUUUUGACCUAAUAUUGCAAAUAUAAAUUUAUAUUUUGCAUCUUAACUACUCUUUGGCAUUUAUAAUAUCAUUGUUUCACACCUCAAUUUUUUUAUUGUUGUCAAAAAUAAACUUAAUCCAAAAUGAAUUAGCAAAUUAGGGAAUAAAUGUAAUCAUUGUUUUUGGGAGUUUGAGUUCGACCGUGAUUAUUGUUGAAUAAUUUUCACUUAGACAUGGACAUUUUGCUAUUUUAGCAAUUUAAAUUUAAAAUUUUCUUUUAUCAAAAGUAAACCUCUUGUUUUAAUGUUUUUCUGGUCAUCCCUUUUAAAUACAACUAAUGACAAAUGAAUAUAACAAUUAAGAAAUUCGUAGAUAUAUAACAACAUUUUAAACUAAUUGCUGCAGUUAUUUUAAAUCACAUAUGUCAUUCGCUUAUAAGCCAUAAGAGUCUAUUAACGAUAUAAAUCUAUCACAAAUAUAUUUUGCUACAUUUACAAUUUUUAAAAGAUAUUGUUAUAUACUUAAUUAUUAUUCAUAAAAUUACUAAUCCAUUAUACUUACCCUAAGUUAAAUGAAUAAUGUCAAAAGUAAGUUUACUACGAAGGUAAUUUGUGUGACCCUUUUAUCCUAACGUAGGAAGUUUGUUCCACUCCAUACCAUUAUUGAACUAAGAAGAUUAAGUGUGUAUUAGUAUGUUUAAACAAGUAUAAUUAUAGCAAAUUCUAUGAGUGAUAUAUUUAUAUUAGCAAUACAAUAUGUGUUACAUAUGCAAAUAUUUUGUAUCUAAUCGUUGUAUUUGCAAUUAACUCCAUUCAAAUAUACAAAUAUAAACAUAACUCUUUAACCUGAGUUUAGCUAGGAUCACAAACUACAAAAAGAAAGUAUGGAAUAUAUUUAAUUUGUUUUUUUUUCUUUGAAGAAAAUUUGGUGUGUAGCACAUUAUAUAUUUUUCUUUCCAUUAAAAAACAGUAUUGAUCUUAUAAUAUACGGCCUUGCACAAUGUAUUCACCAUAAAGAUCAUAUAAUUGUAGAGAUGUAUAGAAGGUCUGAUAAACAACAUAAACGAAAAGUUCUAAUCCUUGAAAUUGUAAACAUUACCCAUAUCCUACAAUAAAAGUCACAUCAACUUGAUAUUUGUUGAAAUUUAACAAAAAUGAAAAGAAAGCAACGACAAACCAAUGACGAUGGAAGAAGAUACAGUUUUCAAACACAACCAGCUAUCCAAAUUAUUCAUAAUAUGGUAUUAGAAAAUAUAUUGCAAUUUGUAACCUCAUAAGUUUAUAAACAGAGUAAAAAUUAAAGGAAAUUUUUUUAUCAAGCUUAUAUUAGGACUUUAUACUACUUAUAUGUAAUUCUUAAGUUUUCUUCUUUUAGCUAUAAAAGACACAAAUUAAGAAAAAAAAUGACUUGAUUGUCCAUGUAAAGUUAUGCCCCAACUUUUUUCUUCUAACUUAAGAAAAGGAACACCAACAAAUAUCUAUCCCCAUAAACUAAAAAGCAUAGGAAAAUGAUAGUAAAAGUAAAAUCAUCUUUUUCUGUUAUCUUUUUCCUUCAUUCAUUUACUUCUAAUUGAAAAUAAAUCAAAAGUCUAAAACCGAUCAAAUUAUUGAAAACAAAAAAACAAGAAACAUAACAGUGUGGAGAGGUAGUUAUUAUCAAGUAUUUGAUUUUGUUUAAUAGAUUCCAGUUGUGACAACCACAACAAUUGUAUGCAUGAAGUUCAUCAUUCAAACAGAUUCUGACAACAAAUUUCAACACAUCUGCAAGGCGAAAGAAGAUAGGAAUUAGGAUAACAAGGUAAUUAGAACACUGAAAUAAAUUUUAAAAAUAAUUUUAUUGCCGAUUGCUACUAUAAGCAUAAUUAUCUGCUUGUAUAGUUGUCUUGCAUGAUCUGACAAAUACAUUAUGGUAUUUGAUAUUCCAUUCAGGUUGUAUCUUGCAUGUUACCAACAAAAUCAUGUGCUUAGUGAUAAAUUACUCUUAGACUGAGAAAUACUCGAAAAAAAAUCAAGAGUAACAACUCUUAGUUUCCCAGAAAAAUUGAAACAAAAUCAUGACAAACCAACAACAAGAACUUCAUAAACUUGUCUGAUGAAAGCAACUCAAGAACAGUCUCAAUGCAGAUCAUACAUGAGUUCUUUGCUAAAAUAUUUCCAAAGGCUAAAAAGAGUUAAGGAAAAAAAGAAAAACAAUAAUUACCUGUAAUUUUCGUUGGUUCAUGAUCUUCUCUUGUCAUUCCCUCACUUUAAUCUCAUAACUGAAAAGGAAAAGAGGAGGGAGGGGUGAUUAAACUCAUGCAUGUACAUAAUGUCGAAACCAGCAAAAUUACCACCCUAUUAACUAUGAAAGUCUGGUUGUGGUCGAAGUAGGGUGAAAGUCAGUGUAGAUUAGGAUAGAUGUCACCGUGAAGCUCACUGUCGGUUGGGGGAGAACAUAAAAAUUGACUUUUUUCUUUUAUAACAGGCUGGGGUGAACUGGCUGGCAAGGAGGAAGUGACAUGCUACCACUAGGUUGUGUUAGGUGUGAACAAUGGACAAUGGUGGCUAGAAGUGAGGGAAGGGCUUUGUCAAAGGGUCGUGCAGGGCUGAACUCCAACUGUCCAAUAUUAGUUUGUUCGGUUACUUUCUUUGUUUCACCCAUAUCAAUGUCUGCAAAAAUUCCCACAAUAUAUAGAAAUGGAAAUAAAGAUCCUUAAGUUCUUUGAGAAAAAUCAUAAAUAUAGCCACAAAAUUUCUCCAAUUAUUUGUUACUUAAAAAAGUAUAGAAAUUGUCAACCAAGCUCAACUAACGCCUGUAUGUAUGUACUUAGAACCAAGAGGUCUCGGGUUUAAAUCCCUCUACCCAAAAUUUGUCCUAAAUCUCAACUUUUUUACAAUCAAUCCUAAAACUCUUUUUCUACCCCAUUUGGCCUAAAUCUCAAAAUUUGUCCUAAAUCUCAAUUUUUUAUACUAUUAUAGUUGUAGAAUAAAAAAUUUUAGAUCAAUCACGCAUUAUCGUUGAAUUCAAGACUAAUUAAAAAUUGACAUGUGUCCCAAAUUAAAAUUGAAAAAAAAUAUAAAUUUGUUAAUUUGGAUGAUACACAUGUUUGGAUCAAAUUAAUUAUUUUAGUUUAAUUAAUAUUAUUUACUCGGUUAAGACUAAAAUUCAAUCGAGCCAAAAAAAUAAAUUUAAUUUAGCUCUGGUCCAUAAAUCAACCAGACUCAAGUUCAUAAAAGCCACUAAAGAACUCUAUAGAUACUGGAGUUCCCUUCAUUUGAAGAUACAAACUUUCUUUCAAGACUCCAACUUCAAGAACGUCACGUGCUCUGCUUCCUCAAAUCAAGCAUAAGCAUCUAAGUGAGAGAGAAUCAGGAGAUCAAAUGACUCAUUGCAUCAAAUCAACAUAAAUACAUUAUUAAUACAAGUUGGAGUUCACAAAUUAAAUUUCUCUAUAAAGAUCUCGUGUAAACCACAGUGAACCAAGAAGUGAUUAUAAACUGAAUAUUUCAUUAAUAAAUUCAAUCAAAUAAAAUGAAAUACAGGAAAAUUACAACUCUAUUGAACUUGAGAUGAAUCCUCAAAAUUCUAAGUCUUUUCCUUGGACGAAUUCUCUAAUCGUCCGUCAACACACACUUUUGUGGGAUGAGAAAUUUUAGAGCUACUAUGCCUCCCUCAUAGGAACUUUUGUACUUAAGAUUAGCUACUGACUUGGAAUGUUGCGGAAGACCUAUGGAGUUGUUGUAAAAUGGCAGAAAUUGUGAGAAGAUGGUGAUGAAUUUGACUAUAGUUAGUUGUUCCCCGAAAUGGAAGACUUGCUAUAUAAUGUAUUAAUUGACUGUCUCGUUGUUGCUGUCCAUUGUUAUUUUGAUAAAAGGUUUGCAGAUGUAAAUAAUUUGUAAAUUUAUAGAUCUAAGAAUGUUAUCAUACACUUCAUAUUAGAUAAUAAAAAUCACUUGACAAUUUCUCAAACACCACACCGUCUACCGCCUCAAAGUUGAGUUAUUGAUCAUGGUCAAGACAAAGAAAAUAAGGAUUGAGACCACACUUGCGAAGAAGAAAAAUGUUGAGAGGAGAAAAAGAUCAUGCAUGCAAAUGGAAAAAAAAAAAAGAGAAAGUAGGAACUUUGUUUAGGUUCAUCAAGAAGAUAAAUGGAUAUAAAGAAAUAACCAAAAUCAUAACUUGAAUUCUUUCUCAUAUUUGCAAUAGUAGAAAUCUGGAAGACACAUUUGCAAAAUAUCUCAACUUAUUUUGCUACCUAUUACAAUAUUCCUAAACUUAUUGUAAAUGUACACAAUUUUGUAUCUGUGAUCAGUUUCAAGAAUCUCUCCCUAGAGAGAAUAAGUUGCAUCUUCUAAAAGUACUUGCUAUGGCUCAACAUCAACAUACUUUAGGAAACUUUUCAAUAGUUAUUUACAUAAAAGAAAACUAGAAGGUAAAAUAGUAAUGAAUUUCUCCAACUGAAUUUUGUUCGAGUUACAAUAGUUGUAUGUUUAUGCGCAUCUAUAUAUAUAAUGCAAUAAUGUAAGACAACAUGAGCAUAAUGUAAUAUGGAGAGCUGGAGGAUCAAAUAAAAAUAUAAGAAAAUCAGAUUAUUAUCUUUAUGAAAAAAUAAUUAGUACAACAAAAAACAAAAUUAGACUUUACUAAUUGCAGAUCAAAAAUUGCAUCCGCGACGCUGGCAAAUCAGAGUUGCAUGGGAGUUGAAUCCUUAACAAUCUCAUAUAAUGAUAUAAUGUUUUCAAUGCUCAAUAGGCCAAUGAUGCACCAUUCCAAGAGAUCUGAUUUCCUAUUCUGGAGGACUUCUUGAAGAAAAUGAAUGUUAUGCUGCAAGGAAGGUGCAAAUUUAUUAGAGAAGAAUUAAACACUGUUCUAUCUCAAGAAAUAUCAUUUCCAUAAAAGUAAAAGAACCUCCUUCCAGUGAGUAUGAUAUAAGUGGAAGAAUCUAGGUUAAAGAUUUAAAUAAGGAAAUCACAAUGAGAAUGUUGAUUAUUUUUUCCUUAGCUCGGCUUUUGGAAAAGGAACACACACCACUCCCUGAUUUCAUUUGCAUUAUUUUGGGUCAGCUUCAGAAUACACAAACUUCAGAUGGACAGCACAAACACUUGGAAACAAUUUAGCAGAACCAAUUUCUUAAAGAAACAUUCUAAACUAAUUAAAUAAAGAGAGUCCUCAAAACUUCACUCCUUGAAGAACUAUGAAUUGAUUCUCCUACAAUAGUAGCUAGCUUUUGAUAGGACCACGUCCCUUCACCACGGAUUAGAAUAUUGAUGUCAAUAUUUUAAUUUUUUUUAUUCUUCUUCUUUAAAAAAAAUAAACAUUUAAUUCUUGAACAUUGGGAUCUAAAUGUCCAGGGAUAAUAAUGCUCAUACCCACGAAAUAAUAUCCACCAUCCAAACUGUUAAAUAAAAAAAUUCUUUUCCUAAAAUUCUACCGAAGCAGUAGGAAAAGUUGUUAUGUAACUUUUUCUAAAUAAGUGAAGAAAGAGUGGACAAGAAUAUGAUAAAACCAAUAAAAUUAAUCAGAAGCUGCUAGUAUCCAUUUGAUUUAAUACGUUCCAAUCCUUGAAUUUAAAGCCUUGUACAUGUGUGAAUAUUAUGCAUUAACGAUUUAACGAUUUUAAAAUGAAAUAAGAAUGAAGGAUUUAAAUUCAUUCACUUGUGAAAGUUGAGAGAUUUAGUUAAUACAACAUUUAGUAUAAAUUGGUUUUCUUUCCCUUAAAAAGAAUACUAAAGAAAAUACGAAAGUUUUCACGAGGUUACACGUCCUCUCAACACAUUUUCCAUUGCAUAUAACCAAAAAUAGAUAAUAUUGCUUUCAAGUUGGCUAUUGCCACGAUAUUUAAGAAGAACGUUCAAGAGAAGAGGCUCAACUAUACGGAAAAAACCACUUUGAAGGAAUGAAUGGAAUAGAAUGAAAUUACCUCCACAAACUUCAAUUUGAAAUCUAGAUUCCCAAAGCGCUGGGUGACCUCGUACUCUUCCCGAAGGUACUCAUAUAUUUGAGCAUAUUUUGCAUCCCUCCACGCAAUUUCUGAUCUGAGUGGCAAAGGAAAAAGACAUAAAAGAGCACUAAGAUAACAAAAUUCUACCAAUUAAAGCAAUAUUAUGAUCGAAUUUUCUAUGCACGAAUAUUAAUAAUAAUAAGAAGGUAAGAAUGUAUAUAUUUUUGUUUACUUAUAUCAAGCUUGAAAGGCAAACUUUUCUAUGUUAUGAUCUUGGUUCUGUUAGGAUGUCAAAUACAUUUCUGAACAAUAGUAUUAUCCUGGCGCCAAGUACUGCGAAAACCACAUAAGACGUAAUCCAAGCUUUAAAGAGGCUCUAGAUAAAAUAAAAAGAAAAAUGUAUUUGAUAGGCCACUGAUUAUACAUCAGUAUGCUCGCAGGGGCAAAAAGGGCAAAGAAGUAGUUAUUAUUGAGUUGGGAGAAUCAUCCAACAGUAAGAAUGAUUAUCUUGGGUAGUUUUGGGCAUUUAUCUUGACUAGUUUCAGUCUUCAGGUGGUUAGUAGUUGGUUAUGAUCAAGGAAGUUAUGUUACCGUUGCUAUGUUAUGUGUUUAAAUAAGAAGUUAAGUUAGCAGAUGGGUAGACAGUCUUUUAGUUUGAAGUGUUUGGGUUUCUCUCGUGUGGGAAGAAUGGUCUAUGUAAUAGUAAAUUAUCUAUAAUAGAAGAACUUUACUUUAGUAACUAUCAUACUGGUAUAAGAGCCCUCAACCUGGGGAUGAUAGGAAAGGUGGCACAGAAGAAAAUUGAAGAACGGUUAGGCGUAACUGAUUUUGAAAUUGCCAGGAUUUAAGUAGAUGUUCAGAAGUUACCACAAAUUGAAGAAACGCUGCUUGCACUUGCUUAAGAUUGUUCAACGCUUUAUCCUUAUAGCACAGUUGGAACAACAACGAAGGAAUGCAGAUGACACUCAAACAUUAUUGGCUUCUCUAGUUUCAGGUGUUGGAUUGUCAGAUCGCCCUUCCAAUUCGGAAUCGAAUGAGGAAAUUAAGAAUACGACAGUGGCAAACACAGUGGAACCUAUUUAUGGCUAUAGGAGCAAUGCAUUCAGACAAUAAUGAGGGUGAACAGGAUCAUAGCAAAUUAAACAAGUUUGAGAUGUCAGUAUUCAAUGAAUCCGAUCGUUACUUACAAAUCCAUAAACUUACUGAUUCCAAAAAAUUAACAGUGACAGUCAUUAGCUUCAAAGCAGCGGAGCAUUAGCUUCGAAGCAGCGGCUCUCAAUUGGUACCAAGCCACAGACAAACGAGAACCAAUUUUGAAUUGGAAUGAUAUGAAACGAAGAUUGUUGAUCCGAUUUGGCUCAUCAUGCCAAGGUUCAGUUUGUGGGCAAUUUCUCAUAAUCAAGCAAGAAACAGUGGUGGAGGAAUAUUGCAGUCCGUUUUGAUAGGUUAGUGGCUCCUUUACUCCAACUACCUACCAAAAAAAUUAAAAAAAGAACGUGUCCUCUGCAUGUCGUGUCCUAUGCAUGUUGUAUCCUAUAUGUUAAAAAACUGGUGUGUCGUAUCUCGUGUCGGUGUUCGUGCUUCUUAGGUUUUGAAUUUAAAAACUCUUCUAAAUAAUUUUAAAAAAGGAUUUCCUAUUGUUCGGUUUUUCUCUGACUUACCAAUUAAAUUAUUUGGUUGCACUACUUAUGUUCAUAAUCCCAACUCUACUCGUACUUCACUUGAUCUAGCUGUUAAAUGCAUUUUUGUAGGCUGUCUCCUAUAGGAAGGCUUACAAAUGUUUUGACACUUCGACUAAAAGGUAUUUUGAGAGUAUGGAUAUGUCUGUUUUUGGAAAAUCAACCUUUUUUUAGCCAAAAUUCUCUUUAGAGGGAGUCCCCUAACCUUAAGAUAAUUUUUGGGACACUUAACCUAUCCCAAACACCAUUGAUUCCAAAGUUAUGAGCUAACUCUUGACGUCAAGUGUGGAGAGUUCUUCAGGGGGAGAACCACUAUAGACUGACUUGACAAGUAAAAACCUGAACUACAGCUUUAUAAUAAAAGAAACUUGACUCGAAGGAAUUGAGAAUGAUCUAUCACAAAACCAAACUAAUACCCCGAUAAAUGAUUAUGAAGAUCCAGGUAACAUACAUUCUCCUUUUACUUCGUCUAAUUCUCCCCGUUCUUCUCAUAAUUCCUUGUCUAAUGUCUCUGAUCUUGAUAUUACAAUUGCCAACAGGAAAGGUACCAGUAAAUUUGUCAAAUAUCCCAUUGCAAACUAUCUUUCUUAUCGUAAACUUUCACAAUCAUAAAGCCUUUACAUCCAAAAUAAUCAACCUGUUUGUUCCAAGGAAUAUACAAGAGGUCCUAAAUGAUUUGAAUUGGAAAUUAGCAGUGAUGGAAGAGAUGAAUUCUACAUGGGAUAUACUUGAACUACGAAAAGAAAAGAAAACAGUUGGAUGCAAGUGGAUGUUUACGCUAAAAUGUAAAGCUGAUGGUAGUGUCGAGAGGUACAAGGUUGGAUUGGUUGCUGAGGGGUUUACUCAAACCUAUGGAGUUGAUUAUCAAGAAACAUUUGCUACAGUUGUCAAAAUCAAUUCUAUUAGAAAUUUGUUGUCUGUUGUAGCUAACUUUGAUUGGCCUCUUUAUCAAUUGGAUGUUAAGAAUGUCUUUCUCAAUGGGGAACUGAAAGAAGAGGUAAUUAUGGACUUGCCACCUAGUUUUAAGGUAGAUCUCGGGAUUAACAAAGUUUGCAAGUUAAAGAGAUCAUUAUACGGUCUCAAACAGUCUCCUAGAGCUUGAUUUGAACGCUUGUAUAUUCCUUGGAACAAACAGUCUCCUAGAGCUUGAUUUGAUUCGAGAAAGUAGUCACGGGCUAUGGAUUCAGUCAAAGCCAAGUCGAUCAUAUGAUAUUCUACAAACAUACAGGAAAUGACAAGGUUAUGAUUUUGAUAGUUUAAUUUGAUGAUAUCGUUCUUACAAGCAAUGAUGAGACAAAACAAACUUUUGUGAAGAAAAAGUUGGCAGAUGAUUUCCAGAUCAAGGACCUAGGAACUUUAAAGUACUUCCUAGGCAUGAAGUUUGCCAGGUCCAAAAGUGGCAUUCUUUUCAAACAAAGGAAGAAUAUUAUUGAUAUGUUAAAAGAGACAGGUUUACUUGGUUGCAAGGUAGCAGAAACUCCCAUUGAGCAGAAUUUGAAAUUGAAAGUUGCAACCAAGAAUGAGAUAAAGGAAAGAGAAAAGUACUAGAGACUUGUAGGAAGACUCAUAUAUCUUUCCCACACGUCCUAACAUUGCUUUUGAAAUUAGUAUCAAAAGUCAGUUCAUGCAUGCUCUUGAACCAACUCACUUUUAUGCCGUUUAUAGAAUAGAAUCCUAAGUAUUUGAAAGGUACUUGAGGAAAAGACACAUUGUUUCAAAGACAUGAUCAUCUAAUGUUAACGUUUACACUAAUACUAAUUGGGCAGGUUGCAUGACUGAGAUCUGGUUACUGCCCCUUCCUUGAAGGAAAUCUUGCUACUUGGCAAAGUAAAAAACAGAGUGCUGUUGCAAGAAGUAGUGCAGAAGCAGAAUUUAGAGCUUUAACCCAACGCAUUUGUGAGUGUAAAUGAAUAAGAUUGUUGGAAGAAUUGGGAUUCACUCAAACAAUGCUCAUGCAGUAUCACGGCAGCAAUUUCCAUUGCCCACAAUUCAGUCCUUUAUAACAAGACGUAACAUACUGAAGUCAAUAAACACUUUAUAAAGCAAAAGACCAAUGUGGGAGUAAUAUGCAUACCCUACCUUCCGACAACAGAACAAAUUGCAGAUGUGUUAACUAAAGGCCUUCCAAAGUGGCAAUUCAACAAACUGAUUGACAAGCUAGCAAUGACUGAUAUCUUCAAACCAGCUUGAGGGGAAAUGUUGAUUAUUUCCUUUAUUGUAUUAUAUUUUAUUGUGUUGGUUGUAUAAUAUUUGCCAAAUUUAUUUUUUCCUUUUUUGUAAUGAGUUGUUUUAUUUAAGUAAAAUCUUGCUAUUUGUGAAAUAAACAAGAAAUAUAUUAUUUUAGCAUAAAUCAAUGAAGUCUUAAUUCCAAGCGAUGUUUACUGGAUUUUGUUUGCCUCUUUAUUUGUUUUGAGGAUCUUUUUUCUUCUACUUUGUUUGCUUAUUGGUUUGUAUUUUGAGUAUAUCUCUUUUCAUUUCCCUACGUGAUGGGAAACUUGUUUUCAUUUCCUUAUGUGAUGGGAAACUUCCGCAAGGAAGUCUCUUACUGUGAGGAACCAGACUAUUCCUAUAUUUGCACAAUUCCGAGUAAACGAUGUAUAAGAAUGCUUAACGACAGAUGGUCUUCCUUUUUAAGAAUGUCCUGCGUUGUGGGUGGUCUCUUAUUCCGCCGCUUUCUAGAGCUAUGCCGCUGCCAUUACCCCUUGGAUUGGCCAUGAGACAAACAUUUUAGUUUCUUCAUUGCAAGUCUCUUUGCAUUUCCUUAAUGAACAGUUUUUUAUAUAUAUUGUAUCCUUUUCAAAACAAUAAUAAAUAAAAUAAAAAGACAGCUAUCUGUUUAGACCAAUAUACUAUAAGUCCAAUACCAACUAUCGGGGUUUUACCUCUCAAAAAGACCAACUUUGAGAAUUACAUCUGCUAAAUUUGAAUUGGCCUUUCCAACAAGUUGAAGGAGCUUUUUCUUAUCCAUAGUGAAUGUUCCUGUUUUCUCCAUUUUACGAUUUAUAUCUGCAAACUCUUCAACCAAACUAUCAACCUGAAAAAGAAAAGAGAGAAAAGAAAAGGCAUGUUUUGAGAACACAAAUACAAGCACUAAUUGGUGCUGAAGAUUAAAAUGCCAAACUCGGAGAAUUAGUAACUUAGAUAUUUAAUGAGCAAGCAGAUCUCAUAACCUCCGUCAUUCCAGCUAAGUGACAAAAAAUGUCAAUUAUGACACGAUGAUGGAAAAGUUGCAGGAAAUUAUGAUGUCACCAAUCAUGCUUUAGGAAUAGGUCUAGAAAUAAUAUGAGUGGCCUACUAGGUUGUCCCAGGAGUAAAUAAAAGAAUGUGAUAGACUGCCAAUGAUUGUUCACAUAACCAGGCAUUGUAAUCCCAUUUUUUUAUUUUGCUUCCAUACCAAAUUGUAAAACCAAAUUGUAUUUAUAUGUUGUCUUGAUCUUUUGGGAUCAUUCUUUGGAUUGGAGUCCUUUAUUGUAGGAAGGGUUGAACUCUCUUUUCUAUCCUCUUGAGUGCCCUUCUAUGUUCUUCAUUUCUCUCCAAGAAAUUGUGGUUUUGAAUAAAGAUUAAAGAAACAAAAAAUUGAUAAAAAUCAGUUUGACAAAAUGUAAUUUUUAAAAAGAACAUAAAUAACUACAGACAUUUCAAGAGCUCCCCAUCUCUCCUAAUCCUAACCAAAGAUAAUUCUUAGAGAGAACCUAUUGGCACCUACUAACCAAUAUAUACCCAUCUACUAGGAACGGGUCUGGUUUCAUUAAAAGAUUAUAGCAAUGAUUCUACAGUUUUGUAUCCUAUUUGACACCUUUAAGGAUUAUUUUGUGUGUUGUAUUUUGUUUUUCAUAGACACCUGUCUAAUGAAGAGCUGUUACCUAUAAUUGGAAAAAUUCACCCAUCAGAGCAUUACUAUGCAAAACAACAGGCAGAAUAUAUCAUACAGCAGGUACUCAUCCAUAACGAAUCUUAAAAACCCAUAUGCAAGUCGAUGAAUUUUUUAGCUUUACUUUUACGAUUGAGAUAUUGCUUGGAUAUUGUGGCACAUAUUAAUGUCAUCAACAAACAUCUCAUGAUUCUUAUGUAUGGUUGUAGAAACAAUUUACUCUUUCUUUUCCUCUAUCAGUGAGAGCUUGCUGGGUUGUCCAUGGAUUGUUUUAUACUCUGUACAGUUAUUUUAAUUUUUACUUGACCGACCACCCAUCACAUAUAAGUAAUAUUGUGUAAAAUUCAUUUUACGAGUAGUAAAAUCGGUCAUAUUAAAACGCAGUCAUUACACCAAUUGUUUUCUGUUUGCACUUUGUGGACUGAAUGGUUAUUCUCUUGGAAGUUCCUUUAUCAGAUUUCAUUAUAAAUCUAUUGCAUCUGACUUUUAACUCAAUAAACUGUAGCAUAAUUGUUAAUGUUAUUAUGGUCCUCAUUGAUUUUAAUAAGAUAGACCAAGUGUUCUCUAUCAGCCUCAGAACAUAAGAUAUAGUAUGACGUCAUUUAUCUUAUCAUUUUACAUGGAAGAACUUUCUUGCAAAUGUUUUCUAAAUGAGAAAACAUUACCAUAAGGCAUAAGAUCUAGAAUUAGACUAGGCCUGGAAAAUAUUUUCAUCUUCCAGAGGGAGCAACUGUUGGAAUUUUUUGUCCUAAAACUCGUAGUUUGUAAAUCAUAUUCUGUUCAAUAAAGUUGUUAUUGAGAAAUUAAAUAUUAUAAUCUUAAAUCAAUAAAUCAAGUUCCAAGGCUAUUUUUAAAUAAACUUGAACUUUAUGUGUAAACAUAAACGUGAUCAAGUUCGAGUAUAUAGCCUAAAUAGUCUAUAGUAUAUGAAAUAAAGGUUGGGCGCCUUAUUUAGAGAAACUAUGGAUGCAGCCCACUUUGUAGUGCAAACGAGGUGAUCCUAAUCGUUCAUGUAGAGACAUGAAAGUGGGGGCAUCCUAUGUAAAAUGUUUACAUAAGACUGAACCAUGAAUUAGUCAUUUUUACGUUAUAACACCGUUUUACUGUUUAAAACUGACUAUCUCAAUUAUUUGAUGACCUAGGUAACUUAGUCUUAAUCCUGAGUUAACUAUGAACUCCUGUUCACACGAGAUUAUCCUUAGAUCUGCAUAGGUGAGGGCAGCUCAUCAGCGUUGGCCCAAUAAGCCUCCAUUUCAGGGGUAAGAUCGGGUGGAUAGCUGGGAACAUAGGGUACAAGAUGGAAUUCACUCCUACCCGCUUUAGGGUUAGUAGAUAGGUUGCUCUCUUAAGCACUGAAUCCAAGUCUUGAACAAGGGGCCCCACCCUCUCAUUGGCCCGAGAGGGAUUAAGUUUAUAGGUUGAACCUUAACCAAUUGUUCAAUAGUGGAUUAGUGGGACUUAAGGAGCAAGAUGUAAUCUUGGGGUAAAAUGGUAUUUUGACCCAGCCAAGGUUACGAGCAACCUGUGAAGGAUUAACUUACUGAUUAUGGUUUUAUCAAAUGGACACAAUAUAUCUAUAGUGAGGGAGUGCAACUACGGGACUUUAGUGGAAUGACCCGUUAGUUAACGAAUGUUGAUUAACUCGGUUUAAAAGAGUUUAGCUAGUUAAUCUUGAAUCGUUGGAGCCCAUGAUCUAUAGGUCCAUUAGGUUCCUCUGCUAGCUCAUAUGGAUUAAACUUAGAAAAGUGUGAUGAAAUAAGUCGAAUUGUUCGAAUUGGAGAAGAAAGGGAAACCGACAUAUAUAGUGAUAUAGUCGUCGGUCUUCUAAUUAGAAAUAGAGUUUUAUGUUUUACAUACUAUAAGUAUGAAUGCGGAUUCAUACUAAGAAGCUCGAAUUGGUCAAAAAUAGUAAAAAGUCAAAAUGUUGACUUUUGACUUUGAGAAGUCAAACUUUGACCGGCCUUAUAUUCAAAUGUGAUUUGAAUUUUGGAAAAAUGAAUGCGGAUUCAUGCUCGGGAGGUUGGAAUUAGUCAAGACGGACAAAAAUGGUAAAAAGUCAAAAUAUUGACUUUUGACUUAGAAAAGUCAAAGUUUGACUUUUGACUAGAAAUAUCUAAUGACCAUUUUACCCUUGGACUAAGUUAGUGGGAAAAUCCAACAUUUUUGUUGGAUAAUCCCACUAACUCUUAGUGGGAUAUGUGGCUAUAUGAGAUAUAGACACCUAGCCCACUAAGUUCCAUUAAUUGUUAGUGGAAUAUUAGGUGUUGAGAUUUGGCAAAUGAAUUGCAUGCAUUUUUGCAUGCAAUUAGGCUAUAAAUAGAGGUGUUUUCAAAUGUUGAAGGACUUUGCCUCUUUUAUCAUUUUCAUCAUCUCAACAAAAGAAAAAAAACUUCCAAUCUCAUUUUAUCUCCAUUAUUUUCUACACCAAAAUUGGGUCCCACAAACCGGUUCUUUGUCUAGAGGAUAGCAGUUGAGUACUAGUGGUGUCUCGGGUAGAAUUGGUAAGAAGACAUCAACUUUUGAAAGCUUCAAAGGUAAUACUUCUUAAACACUAAUUUGAUUAGUUUAUGUUACAUGUUAAUUGUGGCAAUUAGGGUAGAAAUUCGAUUCUUUUUCCGCUGUGCAUGACUUAGUUCUAUCAGCAACUACAUCUGUUGAUUAACAUCUUCAUUCUGUCUUUAUUUUACAGGCUGAUGCAGAUAAAGAUGGACGUCUCACCUUGGCAGAAAUGAUCGAUCAUCCUUACGUAUUUUACAGUGCCAUUUUCAACGAAGUUGAUGAGGACGAUUAUGAUUUCCACGAUGAGUUUCGUUAAGUUUUUUCAUGUAUGGACACCUCCCUCUAUCUAACAAACUUCGCGGACAAGAUCAGUCUUGAUGUUUGUUGCUGUUGCAGGAAUAGUCGAAUAGUCAGAUAGGAUUAGCAGUAGAAAAACGGAGUUCUUUCACAGCAUGGAAUCGGGAUACAGAGUUUGAAGUCUUAGGCAACAACUUGGAGGCAUCUCUCUGGCAUGGUGGUCAGAACUGGGUUAAACUUCUUCAGCCAUGGCUCGCCCAUAUGGUGGUAUCCCUCUUUUUGUAGCAUAUGAAACCCCCAUCUUGUCUAAGAUAACAAUGGUUUCACACCUUAGAUUAUAGACAUUUAUUUGCAAAUAGUUUUGUUAAGUUCAAUGUCCUUGGUAUAGAAUUACCAUUUAAUUUUAUUUGUUACUAAUUUAUUCUUCCUGGAUAGAAAAUUAUCAAUUAUUCAAUCAUAUUUAUCUUUUGAGUAUAGGGUUUUGAAAAGUGAGCUACAAACAGGUGUGUAAUUUUAGAUUUUGUUGCCUUUUCAAAUAUGAUGUUGGAUAUGAUAUUUGGUUUAAGAAUUUUUGGACCAAUCACGAAAAGUACAAAUAAUUGAAUUUAGGACUAAUUAAAAGUUGACAUGUGUUGACAUAAAGAUGAUGCCACGCAUUUUCAUCGUUGGUUCAAGUUAAAGUUAACUAUUUUAGGUUCAAUUAAAUAUUAUUUAUUUGUACAAUUUUAGCCUAAGAGCUAAAUAUGACAAAAAUUUAUGUAAUAAGGUUAACUUAGUUGGAGAGCUAAAUACGACAAAAAUAUAUGUGAUUGGAUCAUGAGUCUGAUCCAUGAUCAACAAAGUCCAAGCCAUAGAAGACUAUAAUAGAAGAGUCCUCCUCAUCUGUGGAGAUAGAAAUUUUUACUCCAUAGGGUUAAAGAGAAUUCUCCUAAGAACAAGAAGACUCUCGUCGACCACCCUCCAAGAUUGAAGAAAAACAUUAUGUGUUGUAGCUUCCUCAAAUCAAACAUAUAGACAUUCAAUCGAGAGAAAAUUAAAGGAUCAAAUAUUAGAAAUAUUGUUUGGUCAAAUUGACACGUUCGAUGGAUAUCUCUACCUCUUAUCUCUCUCUCAUCAUCUAAAUCUACAAGCAAACCAAUGACAAUAAAGAAAGCUUAAUCCAAAUCUUCUAUAAGCGACACUUGCACAUCUUCUAUUGCAAGCGACGGUUACACAGGACUAGGACCUGUACCCACAGUGUUCAAGGGAAAUCAUCCAGGAGCAGAAUCAAGGUUCUGUCAUUGCGUAGAGCAUUCUUAAGCAAUUGAUGGAGUUUCCUAAAGUUGGGAUUGUCAUCAAGGAAUCCCUUGCUAUAAGAAGAUCGAUAAUCACGAUAAGGUAUAUAGGGAAUAAGUUCACACCUAAAUGAAAUGAAAUAGACCCUACAUUGUCAAAGAAGUUUACACAAAUGAAGUAUACAAGAUUGUUGAUCGAGAUAGAUUAAAAGUUGCCCCAAUCAAUGAUAGGAUUCUCAAGACAUUUUAUGUGUAACGUCAUUAUGUAAAAAGCUCUUUAUCGCAAGAGCUUAAACUGCAUAAUCUCCAAACCCACACGAGCUUAAAAGGUGAGUGAUAAAAAAAAAAAAACCCAAUCAAACUAUUUGAUCUCAAUGUUAUAAAAAUGGUACGUAGGCAGCUUAAUGUUAACUUUAAGUUCAGUUAUAUGUGCAAGAAAAAAGUUUAGUAAGCGACAUUAUGACUUAAUCUCAUAGUAAAUGGUAUGUAAGCAACAUAAAAUAAGAAAUUUUCAUUAUCAUUAAAGCAAAGUUUUGUAUUUACUGAAAUUAAAAAAAGAAAACGAAUAAAAAAAAGGGAAGGGGAGCAAAGUCAAAUCUUCCACGUGAAGCUCUUAAAUUCCUCGUGUGUAGCCUCCAUACUCUUAUGAACUGUAGCUAGAGCCUCGAUGACUUCUUCUUUGAUAGCCGGAGUGUUGACUUCAUUCUGGAUCUUUGCAACUUCUAGUUCUUUCUUGUCUAUGUCUUCGUUCUUCUCACAAGAUAAGAUAGAUAGAUGUUUAGACUCAGUAUUUAUACUUUGAAGUCUGCUUUCUAGUUCCAUCUUUUCCAAAGCCAAUUGUGCAACCCUCUCUUGAAUAACUUUGGCAUCUUUUCGUAAUUGGUUUAUCAAAGUUAAGGCUUCUUGUCUAAUUGAUGAGCUUUGUCUGUCGACGACAACUACGCAAAAUACGAAGAUUGUACAACAUUGAAAUUGUCUACCCUCUUAAAAUAGUUGUUUAAAUAUUCUUCAACAAGGAGUUAGGUUGUCUGCAUAGAUCUUCGCAAUUCUCGAAAGUAUCGUCGUUAUAUUUUGUCUAAAUCUUGAGAUAUAUUUAAAAAGAGUGCACAUGAUCUUGUCUUGAAUGUCCUCUCACAUGCAUAAAGCCGUUUUCUGAAGUAUGUUUGAAACUAUCUUUUCACCAACCCAUGAGAAGGCACAGGGUGUCCUACCAUCUGCUUCUUGGAAGUGUUUAAAGACAACUCAGAAAUCUGGAGAAGAGCAUGUGUGGAUAUGACAUUCUCUGAAGUUUCUUUGGGGCAGACAUUUCCUUUAGAUGGAGGAUUCAAAUUUUUAACAUUUUUUUCAUUCACUUUCAUCUUACCACGUCGAUUCUCCUCGAGGAGAGCACAUGAUUGUUCAGCAACUAGUAGUUUUUAGGUACCAACUUCUUUAAUGGCCAAAUCCACAACAUGAGGCCGUGUCAAAGAUUCAUCGUUGCAUUGCUCAAGCUCUUGAAGAUGAUCAUCUAAAGGUGACUAUAGAAAUAAGUAAUGAAUAAAUCAUCCACUAACAGAAUAAUAAUAAUAAUAAUAAUACAAGAAAAGAAAAAUAUGUGAACUAGUAGUGUCGAAACUUUAGGAAUUUUCAGAGCACUCAAACCCUUUCCAUAGAAAUCAUCACCCAAUGCCUUUGCUUUCUUCGAAGGUCUCUUGCAAUGACGAUCACUUUUGCUACCAUCACUUUCGUCUCUAAGCUCCUUGGCCUCCUUUUGGAGGGUAGGAGUCAUUGCUUUAACCAAAUGAAUAUGUUUACCACCUAGGUUACUCCCUCAAUUCUUGAGUAGUUUGGAUGCUCACCACAUGGUGUCUAUUAUCCUUAAAAUAUGUCUUGUGCUUUGUUGUCCACCAAUUUCUAAAUCGUGUUGUCACAUGCUUGCAAGACUCUAACGUAUGGGCAAGCAAGAACAACCCAAAUAAAGAUUUGCACCUCGUGCAUAUCUCCACCGAUAUAAUGUGUUAUUUGGUGUAAUAACAAGUGACAUUUCCUCUAUAUCAUUAGGUAUAUCUUGGUAAAAGCCAAACUACUCUUGAAAUUGAUAUGGACUCUAUGAUUGCACAGUUCAAACAUUUCCACAGCGAGAUAAUAAGUAGCAUCAGCGCAUACUUACAAGAUAGGAAGACUGAAGAAAUGAUGAGUCAUUAAUAUCAACCAUGCGUUCAUGCUUAUCGGUUUUGAAGGUUUGCAGGCCAUUGAAUUCUUGAACCAUUGUGGAUCAGUUCUAGCGCCUCAUAUUCUCCAAAAUAAAUAGACAUAUCUUCGUCAGAAAAGUUAGCCAAUUUGGGACCCGAAACUUCUGUUGGUAGAGGGUAAUGCGUGCCAAAAUAAUUGAAAAUUUAUGUUGAUUCAAAGAAAUUAAUGGUGGAAAAAAUUAUGGAUUACUGGUGGAUUCAAGAACUGUAACUAGUCAGGUCGAGGAAAUCCAAGUAAAUCCAUGCUGAGAAUAUGACCUUAAGUGAAUCUUUUUAGGUAUCAACAAUAAUUGAAAAAUUGUCACUCUCAUGGAGAGAUUUGAAAAAUUAUCUCAAACAUAAACGCAAAGAGAUAAAACUUGAGAAACUUGUGGAUCGGCUUGGGACUAAAGACAAUAAUAGAAAGGCAGAAAAGUGUGUAUUUUGGAUAGUACAAUAGAUCCCAAGGCGAACACCGUGAAAAAUAAACAACAAUGUAACAAAGAAAAGAAAGUUUUUUUGGUGAAGGUUUGAAUACAAAACCUUUUAUUUGUUUGAUUGUAAUAGAAGAUUUUUCUUCCCCCUCCAUCACUCUACAAUGACAAAUGAAUUUGAUGCCUUCUCAAUUUUCAAAAGUCCUAAAAAUAGUCUUCAAAUUUUAAAACGACACCAAGUUUUAGCAAUUCCUUGUAAAAAUACUCGUAAAUUUUAAAAAUGUGUGAAUACCUCAAUCACCCUCCUCUUCUCUUCCCCUUUUCUACUUCAAUGUACAACUAAACUCUUCUCUAUUUGUUCUUGACUCGACGUCAAUACCCUUUCGUCUUUCAUCUCCCUCUUCUUAUUUAUAUUGAUAUAUUAUAUUAGUGCUUCAUGUUCCCUAAACCAAGCAAGGUUUAGAGAAAGGGAAAUAGAAUUUGUUUUGGGAAAAGGGAAAAAAGGAAAAAGGUAAAAGAAUUGAAAUGAUAAAAGGUAGAGAAAAAGGAUUUGUACAAGUUGUUAGAAAAAAGAGAGAGAAAAAAAAGGGAAGUUGGGAAGUUGGGAGGUUGAGGGGACCAAUUAUGGGAAGUAUGUGAUGGGCAAUACACAAAGAAAAAGGCAGCCUUUAUUGAUGUGCCUUUCUCAUCAUCAUCUCACAAAGCUCAUCCAAUUCAAUAUAUGAAGAUUAAAUUACCAUUGCUUCUUGUUACUGUUACCAUUCUCAUCACUAUUUGACAAUAAAUGCAAUUAAAUUUACAACACUAACAAAAUUCAUAAAAGAAAGGUAGAAAUAAUAACAAUGUAAAUAAAUAAAUAAUUGAAUUAAAAAUGCGGCUAAAUUUAGAGAAAGAGAGAGUUACUUAAUAUUGACAUAUAAAACACAAAGUUCAAUUAUAUGUUAACUUUGAAAACAAUGUUCAAUAUUGUGUCAAUGCUAUGUUAGACAUCGUUGAAAAGUUAAAAAACCUAUUUCAUAUAAAGGUGAAAGAUGAUAUUUAUAAUCAUAUAUAGAUAUGGGAUGUAAUGGUUUUGGUUAAACUUAUAAUUUAACAAAAGAGAGAUAAAGGAUAAGAAAUCACUAUCCUCACCUAUAAACAUCUCUAUUACACAAAAGAAAAAGAAAAGAAAAGGGAAGUAAUUGUUGUGAUUGAUGAAGUCAUGAAUGCACAAGUCCAUACAAAUUGACUUUAGUACAAGUUUGAAAGUAUAGCUCAAGUUUGAAAGUAUAGCUUUGGCAUCAUUGCUAUUAGAAUGGGGAGCCAAAAGGACAAAUAAUAUGUUGGUACAACAAAUAUAUAAUAUCUCCUCCACUCCUAACUUUUUGUCCAUUUCAUUGUUGAACUAUCCAACUUUAAUCUUACCUUUUAUCUAUAAUCAUCUAACACACUUCUUCUUUAAGCUCUCAUAAACCCAUUUUUAUUAGUGUUGCAAUCAUUGCUUUUAAUAGAAAUAGAAGUAUCAACAUUUCAAUUUAGAGUAGUUGUUAAUGCUUAAUGCUUUUUUUUCUUUUUUAUAAAAUAAUUCAUGGAAGACGAAUAUGAGGAGUGAUUCAUAUGGAUGUAACAUCAUUUGAAUGCCUAUCUAAUAAAAAUGACUAGAGUUUUAGAAGUGACUCAAAAAUGAACUGAAUUUACUAAUUCAUCCUUAUAAAUUUGCAGUACACUUAUAAUUGAAAAACGCUAAUUGAUGCACGAUCUAUUGUACUUAAUGCUCGAUACUUGAUGUUCUAUGCUUUAUAUUAUAUUCUCUAUGUUAUAUUUUAGAUACUAGAUACUAGAUACUCACUCGAUGCUUAAUGCUCACUGUUCAAUACUUGAUGUUCUACGUUUUAUUUAUGUUAUAUAUAUGUUUAUCACUUGAUGCUCUAUACUUGGAAAAAAAAAAAGCAAAAAAGAAGAAAAAAAAGCAUUUAAAGUUAAAAGUGAUAAUUUUAGAUAGUGAUACGAUCGUUAACGUUUUUAAUUGGUUUAAAAAAGUAUGAGAUAUUUUAUUUGAGGUGAUAUAUGCAAAAAUUUCAAAUAAGGGUGUAAAACUUUAUAGCUAUAUUUGCAUUUAGAAUAAAUAUUUUAUAAGGUUAUUUAUCAUAAGACAACAAUAAAAUUGUCAUUAAACAAUCUUGAGAGGUUGGAUUUCAAAACUUUUACAAAUUUAGGAACAUUUUCAUUUAAUACUUCUAUUCAUUUGACAAUAUUUAUAGUGUUAUAUCAUUUAAAAUAAUUUAUAUUAUUCAAAAUCAAUUAUUUUGCUUUCGAUGCCUUUAAAAAUAGCAAUUGAUAAAAUAUUUACAAAAUUAAAUUUGCUAAUUUUGUCAAAUUAUUUUGUUGAUGGAAUUGAGUUGGUUAUUUUACCAACUUACUCUAACUCUCUCCAAUUCUUCGUCCAUUCAAUGUUUUAAAUGGUUUCCCCCAUUGGCCUCCAUUAACAAUUACCACUACCACACUUUGGUGACAUACUCCGACAACUUUGAGCUUAUAUGACCAACUUUGAUGAUCACCUUCACACAAGAAAUUUCAGUGACAUACUUCGACUUCUACCUUCGUGUCGCCAAUUUCAUCAACCAACUUGGGAUCCGCUAACCACCUCCGACGAAAAUCCUAGUGACUAACUCUAAUGACUACCUUUGCACAAGCAACUCCAUUGACAUAUUUUGAGCAGCCACCUUUAGGUGACCAACUCCGAAAACCAACUCUAGGCUCCAAUAACCACCUCUAACCACAAACUUCGAUGAAUAUCACUUUGGAUGAUCAACUUCAAUGACAACCAUCUCUGGCAACCAACACUAACAUAUAAUCAAGAGACCAACUUUGAUGAAGGCCACCUAUAAUGAGACCGUUAGUGAUAACUCUAUUUUUUGUGAACACGUAAAUAGACGUUUGCACAUUUCCUCCAACUAGUGGACAAACAACGAAACAAGAUAGGAAUUGUUCUCUUUUUAGCUAACAUUUAUGAUGGAGUUAAAAUUAACUGAGAGUUCAAAAUUGAAGGUUAGGGAGUAGAGAAAAAUGUUCAUUUUAUUGAAAUAUAAGGUGUCAAAGUAUGAUAUAUGUUUACUUGGUAGAAGUUUUGUUAGAUUUGAAGGAAUAGAAGAAAAAAAGCAUUUUUUAGUAAUUUUUUUUAUAGAAAAAGUAGUGUACAUUUGGAGGAAAAAAAAAAAACUCAAUACAAACUCAAUUAUGUUUUAGAAAAAACGCACCACAUAUACGUCAACAUAACUUUACACAAACUUUUAACUUAGCUCAACUCACUACUCCAAAGAUCCAAACACAGACAUUCUAACUUCCAAAUAAUAAUUACCAACCUAACUUAACUAUGCACAGUCAACAUCUCUUUAAAGCUUUGUUUGAAGCCUCAAAAUUCUGAGUGAUUUUAUUUUCUAACAGUUUCAAAUAAAUUUCGUUUUUUAUCACAUAAAAGAGAAGGAUUUUAAAAUUUGAAAUGAUUUCAAAUCAUGUUUUUAUUUGAAAAUUUUUCUUGCCAAAAUAAUCGGUUUUUGUAGGAUUUUAUAGGGUUUAGAGUAAAUUAUAUAAUUGACCUCGUCAUUUUCUAAUUUUCAAGUAACAAUCAUAGAUAAAAGUCUAAUUUAGUGAAUUCUUAACUUUUUUUUUUUUUAAAUGCAUAAAAGUCUAAUUUUCAAGUAACAACGAAACUGUUGAUGUGCACACGUGUGUGUGUGUCUGUGUGUGUGCUUAUGUGUGUCUGUGUGUGUGCGGACGCGUAUGUGCUUGUGCGCGUGGGUGUGUCGGUGUGUGUGCGCUCAUACGUGCGUGUGUACGUGUGUGCGCAUUUGCCCGUGUCCGUGUGUGCUUGUGUGUGAACAAGUUGAUAUAUUUUAAUGUUGAGUUUCUCUCAAUUUUAAAAUAAUAAUUUUAUUAUCUUGAUAUUCAAGUCAUUAAUGUUAUUUUGAGAUAAAAGAUAGCGAACAAGUUGAUAUUUUUUAAUUUUGAAAUUCAAUUUAGGUUAUUUUAAUACAAAAUCUAUCUGAGAUUUUGAAAUUUUGAAAAAUAAUAAUUCUGUUAUUUUGAAAUUCAAUUUGGUUGUUUUGAAAUUUCAAUUCCAUUAGGUUAUUUUGAAAAUUGUAAGAUUGAGUAAAUUUAUGAAAAUCUUGAAUCAAUUACUUGAGUCUCGAGAUAUUAAGAAAAAAUUUAUGAUAUAGGUUUAUGUAUCUUUUUCAGAUAAAAAAAUAAUUAAAAGUUGAUAAAUGCAUAACAUAAACUAAUUACAAAGUAGAAACAAAAUAAUUACAGUUGGAGAAGAUGGAUAUUUUGGUAUUUUAGAAAAUAUCAUGCACGUGAUAGAAUGCUAUUUGCUAAAAUUCAAAAGAAAAAGUAGUUUUGUCAUUUUUAAAAUGACCCAUAAAAACGUUGUUAUAUCUCUUAUGACAAAGAGUGUGGAUCUACUGGUCCAUAUUCGACUUGUUUUUUGUUGGUAAAAUUGGAUAAAACUUCAUUAUAUUAAAAUAAUUACACUAAUGACACUUUUCAACCAAUAUUGAUAAAAAUUGUUAUUUAAUUAAUGUUAUUAAGUCAAAUGAAUAUGGUUUAAAAGUUUUUCUAUACACAAUUAAUUUAAUUAUUUUUAAAUUUUAAUUCAUUUACACAUCUUUAUACAUAUGUGUGUGUGUGCGCAUGUGUUCGUGUGUGUGUGCGUGUGCGCGUGCGCGUGCGUGUGUAGGUAAGUGUGGAUGGGUGUGCGUGCAUAUGUAUGUGUGUGUGUGUGCAAAAGUGCGUGCGUGCGCACGUGUGCGAGUGUGGUUGCGUGCAUGUGUAUGUGUGCGUUCGUGCGUGUGUGCGUGUGCGAACAUGUUGAUAUUUUUUAGUGAUGAGAUUCUUCCAAUUUUAAAAUAAUAAUUUCGUUAUAUUGAUGUUUAAGCCAUUAAUGUUAUUUUGAGAUAAAAAUAGCGAACAAGUUGAUAUUUUUUAAUUUUGAAUUCAAUUAAGGUUAUUUUGAUACAAAAUCUAUGUUGAGAUUCUCAAAUUCUGAAAAAUAAUAAUUUUGUUAUUUUGAAAUUAGUAAGAUUGAAUAAAGUUAUUAAAAUAUUGAAUCAAUUAGUUGAGUCCCAAGAUAUUAAAAAAAAAGUUGCAAUAUGGAUUAAUUAAAAGCUGAUAAAUGACAUAAAUUAAUUACAACGUAGAAACUAAAUAAUUACAGUUGGAGAAGGUGGAUAUUUUGUAAAAUACCAUGCACGUGCAAAAAAUGUUAUUUGCUAAAAUUCAAAAGAAAAAAUAGUUUUUCCAUUUUUUAAAAUAACUCAUAGAAAAGUUGUUAUAUCUCUUAGGACAAAGAGUGUGGAUCUACAGGUCCAUAUUCGACUUAUUUUUUGUUGGUAAAAUUACAUAAAACCGCAUUAUAUUGAAAUAAUGACACUCUUAAACCAUAGAAAUUAUAAUUUAAUUAAUGUUUUUAAGUCAAAUGAACAUGAUUUUUACUCCUAAACAUAAUUAUUGUAAAUGUUUUUUAAUCUUAAUUCAUUUACACAUCUUUGUGCAUAUGUGUGCAUGCGCGUGUGCGUGUGGGUGAGUGUGCGUGUACGCUAGCGUGUGCAUGUGUGUGUGUUUGUGCGUGUGUCCGUGUGUGCGCAUGUGCACGUGUGUGUGUGUCUGUGUGUGCUCAUGUGUGCGUGUGCUUGUAUACGAACAAGUUGAUAUUUCUUAAUGUUGAGUUUCUUUCAAUUUUAAAAUAAUAAUUUAAUUAUUUUGAUAUUCAAGUCAUUAAUAUUAUUUUGAGAUAAAGAUAGUGAACAAGUUGAUAUAUUUUAAUUUUGAAAUUCAAUAACAUAAUUGAGAUUAUGAAAUUCUGAAAAAAUAAUAAUUUUGUUAUUUUGAAAUUCAAUUUGGCUAUUUUGAAAUUCAAAUUCAAUUAUGUUAUUUUAAAAUUCAAAUUCAACAUGCGUGCGUUCGUGCGUUUGUCCAUGUGUGUGUGUGCGGGUGUGUGUGAGUGUGCGUGCGUGCGUGUGUGUGUGCGUUCCUACAUGUGGGUGUGUGUUCGUGUGUGCGAACAAGUUGAUAUUUUUUAAUGUUGAGAUUCUCUCAAUUUUAAAAUAAUAAUUUAGUUUUCUUGAUAUUCAAGCCAUUAAUAUUAUUUUGAGAUAAAGAUAUCGAACAAGUUGAUAUUUUUUAAUUUUGAAAUUCAAUUAAGGUUAUUUUGAUACAAAAUCUAUCGUUGAGAUUCUCAAAUACUAUUAAAUUAUAAUUUUGUUAUUUUGAAAUUCAAAUUCAAUUUGGUUAUUUUGAAGUUAGUAAGAUUGAAUAAAAUUAUUAAAAUGUUGUUCUCAAAUUAUAUAAAUUUGGUUACACUAGAAGAAAUUUGCCAUUCAAUAUCGGUUUAAAAUCGACAUUAAUGAUCUUUGGUGUCAGUUCAGAACGACAUUAAUGAUCUUUGGUGUCAGUUCGGAACUGACAUCUAUGCUAGCGUUAUUAAAGGCCUUUAAUGUCUUUUUUGCUUUGAUGUCGGUUUAAAAACGAUAUCAAAUGCAUCAGUAAUGUCGGUAUGGUCAUUGAUGUUGGUUUAAAACCGACAUUUUUUAUGGUGAUAUUGUUGACCUUUAGUGUCGGUUUGCCUUUGAUAUCGUUUUUAAACCGACAUUAAAGUCUUGUUUUUGGAUCUAUUUUACAAAAAAAAUAUAUAAUUAUUGCAUUAUUGUUCAUUUUUUAUAAACUGACAUUAGAUACAUGUAAAUAAAUAUUUUUUUCUCACACCAACAAAUCAAUAAAAUUAAUAUUAUUUUAGGAACUACAAUAUUUUUCUUUUACAUUUGUAUAUAGAAAAUGAAAUCUUAAUAUUGCGUUUGUAUAUACAUUCUAUAAUAAUACAUGAAACUAGAUCCUAAUACAAGACUUAAAUAAGAAAUCUUAAACGCUUUCACAAUCUUCAACUUCAACAAUUGCUUCCAUCUACUUAGCUUAGCUUGGCUGGCUAUCUAAGACCAAAAUAUACUUUACAACCUGGGGAAGAUUAAAUCUAGAAUUUGCAAAAUUAGUACAUAUUAUUUAAAAUCAAACUAAACAGACUGCAAUCUAAAUGUGGAAAAUUAAAAAUUACCACAAAGUUUCAGUAGAGUAAAUAAUGUAGCAGCAACAAAGAAGACAAUUGAAAUGGCAACCCAAAAGUGCUGCAAAAAUAAAGAAGAAAAUAAGCUUUGAUCAAACAACUCAUUAAGAAGAAGAAAAUAACCUAAUUUGGUUCUUCAAAGAUCUAUAAGAAAAAGAGGAAUACAACUAAAGAAUAAUUAUACCAUCCUCGACUCUUACUUCAAAGCAAAUUUUGAAUGUUCAAUUUAGCAAUGCUAGUCUAUAGGCUUCUUACUCUUAAUUGUAUAAAUUUACCCAUCAAUAGCAACAUUGUUUUUAUAGAGAAAGUUAAACAAUGGAGAUGAUAAAUAAUCUUACAAACUCCUAUUGGAUCGUUUUUCUUUUCAAAUGAAAAUAGUUAAUUUAUUUCAUUUAUGGAAGGUGAAAAUCUCAAAUAUAUAGUAAAAGAACAUGGAAUAUAAGGAAGCCCAUAAAAAGAAGAGACUCCACUAGCUAGGUAUUGAUCAAAGAUAAAUAUAUGGAUAAAUAGAUGCAACCUACAAAUAUAUCAAAACAGACUAAUACUCAAACUAAACUAAAGAAAACAAAAACAUUUACUACUAAAAGAUAAAAUAAAACACAAUUCAAAACAAUUAAUUACCAAGAUUGAUCUCAAUCGAAAACCAAAACGCAUCACAUUAUGAAGAUAUUGUGCUUCACAUAACACUCCAAAUAGCUAUACCAAAAUUACUUACUCUACAUUUUCCAUUUUGGCAAAUCCACCUACAAGAAUGCUAGUUACCAAGCUCAUUUCUAUGCCUUCUCUUCUUUCAUUUUUCUAACAAAAGAUAGUAUGAAUAAGGCUGCACAUUUGAAAAAAUAAAGACAAUUAAUAAUCAAUAAUGCUACCUAGCAGUCACAAGUUAACAAUCAAAUGAAGAAACCCAAGGAUUUUUGCGGCGGAAGCACGAUGAAGAUUGGUUGCCGUUCGCGAUCUAGGGUCACAGAUUGAGAAGAGAAGAAAAUUAGAAACCAACUUGGAGAGAAAGAAAAGAAAAAUUGAUAGGGAAAGAGUAGAGUAAGAAAGAGUAAAGUAAGAAAGAGAAAAGUAAGAAAGAGAGGAAAAUUUUAGUUUUUAAAACCUAAAAUUUUUUUAAAAAGAAAUUAAAAAUGGGGGGUCAUUAAUGUCAGUUUUUACAAAAUACAAAAAAUUAAAAAAAAUAAAACUGGCUGAUCAUUAAUGUCGAUUAAAAACGACAUUAAACCCUUAUCAUUAAUGUCGGUUUGAUCCACCUUUUCAAAAACGACAAUAAAGAUAAUUUUUCAUUUUUUUCACCUGACACUACAACCCAGAUUUGUUGUAGUGUUAUUAUGGGUUGAUGUAUCUUUUUCAGAUAAAAAAUGCUAUUUGCUAAAAUUCAAAAGAAAAAGUUGUUUUGUCAUUUUUUAAAAUGACCCAUAAAAACGUUAUUAUAUCUCUUAUGACAAAGAGUGUGGAUUUACUAGUUCAUAUUUGACUUGUUUUUUGUUGGUAAAAUUGGAUAAGAUCGCAUUAUAUUGAUAUAAUUACACUAAUGACACUCUUAAAUCAAUAUUAAUAGAAAUUAUAAUUUAAUUAAUGUUAUUAAGUUAAAUGAAUAUAGUUUAAAAGUCAUUCUAAACACAAUUAAUGUAAUUAUUUUUUAAAUUUAAUUCAUUUUCACAUCUUUGUGCAUAUGUACGUGUGUGCGUGUGUGUGUGCAUAUGUGCGAGUGCGCGUUUGCCCGUGUGGAUUGAUGUGCGUGUGCACGUGUGUGUGCGUGUAUGCAUGUGUGCAUGUGUGUGUAGAUGUGUGUAUGCAUGUGUGAAUGUGUGCGUGCGUUCAUGCGUGUGUUCGUGUGUGUGCAUGCACAUGUGCUUGUGUGUGUGGGUGUGUGCAUAUGCUUGUGUGUGCGUGUCAGAGUGUGCGUGUGCCCAUGUGGGUGUGUGUGUGCGUGUCUGUGACUGCACAUGUGCCCGUGUGGGUGGAUGUGCGUGUGCGUGCAUGUGUGUGUGGAUGUGUGCAAAUGUGCAUGUGUUCGUGUGGGUGGGUGUGCGCGUGCGUGCAUGUGUGUGUGGAUGUGUGCAAAUGUGCAUGUGUCCGUGUGGGUGGGUGUGCGUGUGUGUGUGCAAGUGUGUGUGUGUGCACGUGCGUUCAUGCGUGUGUUCGUGUGCGUGCAUGCGCAUGUGCCCGUGUAGGUGGGUGUGGGUGUGUGUGAGUGCGUGCGUUCAUGCGUGUGUUCGUGUGUGUGCAUGCGCAUGUGCGCAUGUAUGUGGGUGUGUACGUAUGCGUGUGCGCGUGCGUGUGCUUGUGUGUGCGUGUGAAAGUGCGCGUGUGUCUGUGUGGGUGUGUGUGUGCUCGUGUGUGUGAGUGCGUAUGUGUCAGUGUGGGUGAGUGUGCAUGUACGCGUGCGUGCAUGUGUGUGCAUGUGUGCAAGUGCGCAUAUGUUUGUGUGGGUGGGUGUGCGUAUGUUCGUACAUGUGUGUGUGUGUGCGCGUGCGUGUCUGGAUGUGUGCGUGCGUUCAUGCGUGUGUUCGUGUGCGUGCAUGCGCAUGGGCGUGCAUGUGUGUGGGUGUAUGCAUGUGCGUGUGCGAGUGCACGUGUGCCAAUGUGGGUGGGUGUACGUGUGCUUGUGUGUGUAUGAGUGCACAUACGCCUGUGUGGGUGCGCGUGCGUGCAUGUGUGUCGAUGCGUGUGUGCCCGUGUGGGUGGGUGUGCGUGUGCGAGUGCAUGUGUGUGCACGUGUGUGCGCGUGCGUAUGUGUUCGUGUGUGUGCAUGUGCAUGUUGCGCGUGUGUGCAUGCGUAUUUGUGCGUGUACGUGUGCUUGUACGCGCAUGUGCGAGUGCGCGUGUGCCCGUGUAGGUGGGUGUGCGUGUGUGUGAGUGCGCAUGUGCCCGUAUGGGUGGACGUGCGUGUUUGCGUGCAUGUGUAUGUGGAUGUGUGCAUGCGCUCAUGCGUGUGUUCGUGUGUGGGUGUGUGCGUGUGCGUGUGCGAGUGCGUGUGUACCCGUGUGGGUGGGUGUGCGUGUGUGAGUGCGCAUGUGGUCGUGAGGAUGGGUGUGAGUGUGAGUGUGCACAUGUGUGUGUGUUUGUGUAUGCGUGUACAUGUGUGCGUGUGUGCAUAUGUGUGUGCACACUGCCUUCACAUGGAUGUCAAAGAAGCAACCCAUUGUUACUCUCUCUACGUGUGAAGCAUAAUAUGUGGUUGCUACCUCAUGUAGAAAUCUAUUAAAGGAGUUAUGAUAUUGCCAAAAGAAGAGCCAACCAGAAGUUUUCAUAGAUAACAAAUCAACAAUUGCUUUGGCCAAAAACUAGUUUUCCACAACCAGAAUAAAGCACAUUGAUACACAUUAUUAUUAUAUUAGAGAGUGCAUCAGAAGAAAGGAAGUAUAGUUAGAGUGCGUGAAGACUCGUGAUCCGGUAGCCAACAUUUUCACUAAGCCUCUUAAAAAAGAAGAAUUCACAAAAUUGAGAGACCUGCUUGGAGUAACAAAAUCAAGUUUAAGAGAGGAUGUUGAAAUAUAAACUUGAUUUUGGGUUUAACAAUAUUUAGGCAUAGCCCAAAUAAAAGCCAAAUUUCUAUAAAGUAUUAAUUACUACAAUAUUCUAGAUAAAUCAAUUGUAGGAGAUAUUUAGAGAAGAUUGAAGAUACAUUUAGAAAAUAUAAGAAAUGAGUGUAAUUGUAAAGAAUAUUCUAGAGAGUCAUUUGUAACCGUUAAAUAAAGAAUGUGUUGCCAAAAUCCUAGCCAUUCAUUUAGGAGUGACAACUAGGAUAAAUAAGAGGGAUGUCCUUCGACUUGUAUUAAGUCAAAAAAAUAGAAGUGUCUAAUAACACAAGUAGCCUCUUAUCUCAAUUCUCUCUUCCAAAUUUCCUCCAACCUCCAAAAAUCCUUUCCAACAGUGUAUCAUUGUAUGAGUUAGUAGUAGUAGAAAGAGGAGGGCGAUAUUUGUUGGCUUCAUCCCGUCUUUUAGGCUUAUAGAAGGUAGUUUGGGAGGGGGUGUCCACUAAAGUUGAUGCCAAAUCUUUGUUUUUGGAGGCAUAAAAAAAUGAUGAAAUUGUUAAGCAACUCUUAGAAAACAAUACAAUUUGACAUUUUAUAGUUGAGGAAUUGAUCUGAAGAUUGAUAAGCUUAUUUGCUUGGACUAAAAAAGUUUGUUUAAUUUUUUUAAAAAUGAAAAUGGCUACAAUUAGGUUUUUCUCCCAGCGUUACUAAAGUUUGAUUGAAAUGCCUUCAGAUUUAAAUUUCUAAAUGGUUUGUUGAAUUAGUGUUUAAUUAUCUCAUAGGUUAACUGUCGCUCUUACUAUUGAUGCGUGACUACAAUUGGUAUGUCUGAAAGUGAAACCUAAACCUUUCCUUCACUAGAAGAAAUAUGGGCUUUAGUGUCAGGUGAAAAAAAUGAAAAUCUGGCUUUAAUGUCAUUUCUGAAAAGACGGAUCAUUAAUGUCGGUUUUAAAUCGACAUUAAUGAUAUUUCCAUUUUUAAUUUUUAAUUUUUUUUAUUAUGUGAAAACUGACAUUAAAGACCCUUCCCCUUUUUAAUUUCUUUUUUAAUUUUUUUAAGUUGUAAAAAUUAAAUUUCCCUCUCUCUCUUACUUUACCCAUUCCUAUCAAAAUUUUCUCUCUCGAUUUCGAAUUUCCUUCUCCCUUCUCUUCUCAUUCUAUGACCUAAAACUCAUCGUCGUCUUUGUGCCCAUAAUUCAUCCCAAUCGCCGUCGUGGCUAAAACUCUUCCUUCAAGUCUUUCCCAGUCGCCAUUGUGCUUUGGCUAUCGAGAAACGCCUCUGUUGUGCUCAAUCAUCUUCGACCAUUCGCAGUCGCCCAGAACUCUUCCUUCAAGUCUUUCCCAGUCACAGUCGCCGUCGUGCUUCCGCCGCAAGAGUCCCUCGUGUCCAAUCAUCUUCAAAUCCACCACCAUAGCCACCACCGUGCCCAGCCAUUGCAACCAUCGCGUGCCCAGCCGUCAUCUUCGGCUAGCACAGGGCAGACCAAGACAGAGGGCAACUCAACCCGUGAAUACCAAUCUGGUAUUACUUCAUCAGACAUUGGACGAAAGUGGACUACAGAGGCCCUUUCGAGCCUUCUUCUGGAGGUUCAAAGAAUUUUCAUACGCUUUUUUUUUAGGCAUCAAAAUAGAUCAUUGAAUCAAUGUUUAGUAGGUUCUAAUUUCUGUUGUCUGCUUUUUGUUAUUAACAUAUUGGUAUGUGGAUUUAGUUUGGUAAGAAAAUGUAAUGGUAAAUAGAGAGUUGAUUUGUAAGAUAUGAAGAGGAAGUGGGCAGUGGGUUAAUGGAGAUUGGGGUUUAAAGGUAAAGAAGGAAAGUACCAAAGAGAGUGAAGAAAUGAAAUAGUGAAUGAUAAAUAUAAAAGGUAACUACAAAUAAGAGAAAGGGAGAGAUUUAGUUUAGCAUUGUUUGGAAAUUGGAACGUAAUAUUCACUUCUCUAUUUUCCUCAAUUUAAUUUAGGAUUAACUUUUGAGACAUUUUUCACUGACUUCGUGUUAUUAACAUAUUGGUAUCUGGAUUAGUUUGGUAAAAAAAUGUAAUGGUAAAUAGAGAGUGUUGAUUUGGAACUUAUGGAGAUGUAGUGAGAAGUGUGUUAAUGGAGAUUGAGGUUAAUAAGGUGAAGACUAGAUUUAUAUUAAGUGUGUUAUAGGGACUGUAAGUUCAUCUUUUGUUUUUAAACAUAUAAUAAUUAUUUGUGUUUUAUUUCUAUUUCUCUAAUCUUAAAAUGUUCUUAUUAAUUCUUAUACUUUAGUUUAUGUAGUAGUAAUCUUUGUUUAUUUCAAGUUUGGAAAUUUAUUUGACAAAGGUUUAAUGUUGGAGACUACACACUAGAAGAAAACAACCCUACAAUGACAGUUAUAUAUCUCAAAAAAUGAAUGGAAGAAAAAAAAACUGUCACGAAAUAUAAAAUUUCGCGUUUUUGGCGGGAAAAGACGGAAUUUUUCGGAAAACACUUUUCGCGACAGUUAUUAACUGUCAUAGAAUGUUAGGGUUAAAAAUUUUAUUAUUUUAUAUUUAAAAAAUUAAAAUUACAUAUUUAUAUUUUUAAAAAAACCCAAAUUCCCCAAAUUUCCCCCAAUUUCUUCCUCCCCUCCGCGUGAAGUCCCGUCGGCUUUCGCCCAUUUCUGACCGUCUGAAGUCCCGUCGCCACCACCAAUCCCCUCUUGCCCGUCCGUCGAAACCUUCUCCACCAACCCGUCGCCACCACCCCCGUAUUCUCCAAACCUCUCCAAUCAACCCGAAGCAACAAAAUCGUGGGCGUCGGUUAUUUAAUGUCAUAGAAUGUUACUGUAAUGCCCUAAAGGUAUAUAUAUAUUUUUUGUUUUUAUUAUAUAUAUAUAUAUUUAUUAUUUAUAUUUAAUUUAAAUAAAAAGAAAAGAAAAAGAAAUAUAUAUAUUGUUUUUUUCUUUUUUCCUUUUCUUUUCUUUUUCCUUUUUCUUUUUUUCCCUAUUUCCUUCUUCCUCCCCGUGCGUCCUUCCCCUUCUCCCCAGCCGCAGCCGCCGCCCCUCUUCUCCUUCCUCCCGUGCGCCGCGACGACUCCACCGUCUCCUUCUCCCUUCCCUUUCGUUUCCUUCCCGCCGCAGCCCAGCCGCAGCCAGCCGUCUUUCUCUUCCGUUUUCUUCCCGCCGCCCAGCCGCAGCCCGCGAUCUGUCGUCUCCAUCUCCGGUUCGCGAAGCAACCUUGCAGCAGUCGUCCCGCGCGCCGAUCUGCCAUCUCCAUCGCCGGUUCUGUCUUCGUCGAAGCCCGAGCCGCCGUGUGAACCAGUAAUCGCCACGUCCGCCGCUCACAACCGCCGUGAAGCCAGCCGCGCAACCUUCGUUCCAACCGCUGCACUGCCGCGCGAUUCUCCGGCCACGUCUUCUUUAGCCGACCGCUGACCGACCCACACUCUUUUCUCUUCUUUUGGGGGUAAGUUGAGACCCAAAAUUACUUAUAGGGACUGUAAGUUCAUCUUUUGUUUUUAAACAUAUAAUAAUUAUUUGUGUUUUAUUUCUAUUUCUCUAAUCUUAAAAUGUUCUUAUUAAUUCUUAUACUUUAGUUUAUGUAGUAGUAAUCUUUGUUUAUUUCAAGUUUGGAAAUUUAUUUGACAAAGGUUUAAUGUUGGAGACUACACUUGUAACAUCUCGAACUCUAGGGUACCUUAUUAUAUAUAUGUGUGUAUAUAUAUCUUUUUUUUUUAGAAAAGAAGUUAAGGGAGAAAGAGAUUUGGAAGGUUAAGAUAAUAAUAAUAUACAUUUAAUAAUAUUGUUAUAAUUUUUUUUAAAUCAUUAAGUUAAAUAAAGAAAAAGGAAAUAAAAAAAAAAAAAAGAAAAUCAAAGAUUUUCUUUCUCUCUCCUCUCUCGCACGUCCCUUCCCCGUUUUUCUUUUUCUUUCUUUUUCUCUUCCUCUUCCUCACAUCUUCCAGCCGCCCCACCCCUCUUUUUCUUUUCAUCUCCGAUUCACGAAGCCGCCGACCGGAGGUUCUUCCACCGUUCAGAUCCACGACAGCCACCGUCUCCCUCUGAUUAUGCUUUUGGGGUUGAGAUGUUUAUUAAAAAUGGGUUGAAACAUUCAAAGAUGUCGAACGUCAUGACUUGUCCUUGUUUAAAAUGCGUAAAUGCAAAGACUUUAGAUGUGAAUACAAUUAGAGAUCAAUUAUUUUUUUAACGACAUCGAGUGGGGAAGAAAUUCUUGUACAAACCAUCACGUUCUUAUGCAACAGUUGCUACUUGUGGCAAUUCAUGGUAUUUUAUGAAACAUGUAAGACUUGUAAUUGUUCGACUAUGCUUCUUCUUUAAUGCUAUAUGUAAGAAGACAGUUGGUUCAUCACAAUUAAAAGGAAUGCAAGAAGAUGUUGUUGUCACUCUAUGCCUAUUAGAGAAGUAUGUUCCACCAUCAUUUUUUACCAUAAUGGUACACCUUGUUGUGCAUCUCAUAAGAGAAAUUGAGUUAUGUGGACCUGUUCAUCUAAGGUGGAUGUAUCCUUUUGAACGAUACAUGAAAGUUUUGAAAAAUUAUGUGUGAAACAGAAAUCGACCAGAAGGAUGUAUGGUAGAAAAUUAUAUUGUUGAAGAGGCUAUAGAGUUCUGUUCAAAAUUUAUGGUGGGUGCUAGCACUAUUGGACUAAACUCAUCUGUAAUAAAAGCAGAUUCAAACGUGGAUAGAUCAUUAUCAGCUUCUUCUUUUAUCAGACCGAUUAAGGAGCAGUUAGAUCAAGCUCAUCUUUACGUUAUUCAAAAUGUAAACGAAGUUCUACCAUACAUUGAGUACGUUCUAAAUCCCAUCUAUUCUCAUUUUACAUAAGUUGGUUAUGUAAUUACCUAAUAAUUUUGUUAUUUCUGACAGAAAAAAUAUGGAGAGUUUGUGUAAGCUUAACUCUGGUAAAUAUAGAAGUAAAAAAUGGAUUCAAGAAGAGCAUAAUCGAACAUUCAGUCGGUGGUUGUCCACACGGGUAAUUACUAGAACCAUACACUUCCAUGUUUAUUUUAGAUCUAAACUAAUCAGAUCCAAUAUAUUUUGUAGGUUGCCCUCGCUCUCGAAGUUCCUAAAAAUUCCAUCACGCCUUCCUUAAGAUGGAUAGCUCAUGGACCUUCUCCACAUGUGACUACAUAUUCUGAUUACAUGAUCAAUGGUUAUUACUACCACACAAAAAGACGUCGAUGAUAUUAGGAGAGUUCAAAAUAGUGGAGUUAGUAUAACAACCACUACAAUGCAAGUGUCUAGUUCUAAAGACAAAAACCCAGUCAUAUCAGAUAUGACAUUUUAUGGCAUAAUACAAGAGAUAUGGGAGAUUGAUUACCAUCAAUUAUCCUUUGUUUUAUUUAAGUGUGAUUGGGUUGAUAAUAGAAGUGGAGUCAAAGUGGACGAGCUUGAGUUUACCAUUGUGGAUCUCAAACGUAUUGGACAUAAAUCAGACCCAUUUGUUUUAGCCUCCCAAGCAAAACACAUAUUCUAUGUGAAAGAUUAUGCAAAUCCUAAAUGGUCAGUGGUUUUAACAUCUCCACGUAGAACUAUUGAAGAAGAUUUCUUUGAAGAUGAAAUAGGAGAUAUGCUACUAGAGUGUGGUUAUGGAGUUGUUCAAAAGAUGCCCAAUGUUGAUACACCUCACGAGAUUGAUGAUACAACUUCAUCAUAUAUUAGACAUGAUUGUGAGGGUAGAUGGGUUGAUAAGUAAUAAUUGUAUAAAUGUUUUAUUAAGGUAUGCCAUUUACUUUCCUUUAUAAUAGAUUUAUGUUCAGAGAUUGUAAUUACUAAGCUUAUUUUAUGUCCUUACUUUGCUCACUAACGUGCUUACUAAUACAUAUAUGUUUUUUUUGCAGAUUCAUAGAUGGAGGAGUCACAUACUUAAGUGAGGAUGAAAGAAAAAUGAUUCCCAAAGCAAGAAACAAAUCAUUCGUGCCAUGUGGCCCAACGACUAUGCCAGAGUUAGCAUGUAAGAAAUUCUGGGCAACGGUUGCCCGUUCAAUUUAAUGAACAUGGGCAACUUGUAAGAGCUAUAUCUAAGAAAAUUCAAAGUUACAUUGGUGUGUGUGUUCGACAGCAGAUUCCUAUCACAUACAAAUCUUGGAAACAAGUUUCGAAUGAGUUGAAAGAUAAAAUCUACGAUUGUAUAUCGGUAUGAAUUCUAUAAUUACAUUUUUCUUACAAUGUAGUUUGAUUUCCCUAAGUCUAAAUAUUUUUUUCUUUUUUCUUGUGUAGAUGUCGUUUGAGUUACAUCCCAAUGUUAGACAUUCUAUCCUAAUGUCUGCAUCAAGAAAGUAUCGAACUUUCAAAACUACGUUAACUCUUCUGUAUAUACUUCCGUUUAAGGAUCAACCAUCAUGUUUGUAGUUUCCUCCUAAGAUCUAUUCUCAUAUUAAUCAAGAAGAUUGGAAAUCCUUUGUGGACGCUAGACUGACUGAAGAAUGUGAGGUAAAUAAAUUUAAUUACAUGUUAACUUUAAUGUUGGUUUGGUAUGUAACUACAAACUAAUUUUUUGUAUAGGAUUAUAGUCGUAUUCAAAGGGAAAGAAGAUCAAAAUGCAUAUACAAUCAUCACAUUGCUAGUAAGGGAUAUGAAAAUCCUGCCGAAGAAUUAGUAAGUAUUUCUAAUUGAAUGAAAUAAUUUAUCUUAACAUGUUUAUGCUAAUUAAACAUAUAUCUUUGGUUGCAUAAUAUAACGUGUGAUCUUUCCUAUCGUUCAACUCUUUGGAAAGAAGCAAGAAAAGGAAAAAACAAUGAUUAUUUUGAUGAUGCUACUCGAGAUUGUGUCUCUCGAAUCGUAAGUUUGCUUGCGAUUUACUUAUAUACAAUAUUUAAUCUUUUGUUAACUUAGUUAAUGAUGAAUACUUGUAUUGUUCUAUAGGAUGCAUUAGUUGAAACACAUAGAGAUGAGGACAUAUUGACUGAGUCAUUGGGCUCUAAGGAGCAUGGUGUACGUGUACGUGGCAUGGGUGGUUUUGUCUCUCAAUCACUAUAUUUCAAGACAGUGAAAGGGAAAGAGAAAAUUGCAAGUUCUCAAGUUGUAGAAGAUGACUCAAAAAGCAAAAGUUACAAAAAGGGUCAUAAUCACUUGAGAUCGUCCAUCAGAAGUGUUAACAUAGAUCUCUAUGCCGAUGAGGAUUUGGGCAACACACCUAUGAACGAAGAAGUGAAGGUAAUUAACUUUGUUGUCAGUUUUAAAAUUUUAAUGUUUAUAGGAUAAAUUGUUCUUAAUGAUGCUUUUAAUACUUGUAAAGUAAACACCGUGCAAAUUGGCUAUAGGAACAAUUAAUAAUAUUGUUGCAAUAGCAACCGUACUUGAUGAUAGCAAUGGUGGUCUCAAUGUUAAAAUCUUGGUGGACUUGCUCACAGGAGGAGAUUGUAGUUUACCUAUUCCAGUGAAGGGCAAGAUAGAGACUUUAAAUCAAGCAUUAGGUAAUAUUGUUGAAUGACCUCGUUGACUUGUUUAUGUGCUAUUGAAGCUUUGAUAUUUAUUUGUGAUUGUACUUUAGGUUUUGAUAUUAUUUUGUUUGUGCUUGGAGCAUUCAACCCCAAAGGAUGUUCUGUAUUCUUCAAAUUACAUAAAUGUUAAUGGAACCAUUAAGCUCUUAUAUGGACAUGUCGUGAACAAUAUGAAGGAUGUAGAUAUGGUUCGCAUCCUAAUGAACGAGCUAAUAUUCGGUAAAAACAAAUUCAUUUAUUUAGCUCGUUAGGACUUGCUCCAUUAUUGCGGCAUGGUAGAAAUAGGCUAUAUGUGCAUCCUAGCAUACAUUACGUAAGUAAACAUCUUUUACUCAUCUUUAUGUCCAAUACUAUAGCUAUAGUUAUUUUGUUCCUUUUUAACUAAGGUUGCUUUUACUUAGAUAUCUUUGGGAUGAAUGUGAUUGUGGAAGCAAGUUUUUUGUUAUGACCAAGCAAAAAUAACAUCACAUAUCAAGGAUCGUGAUCUCCGAUCCAGAAAUUUUGCCAACCAGUUAGAAGCGGCUACCUUGGAACAAAUAGUUCUAAUUCCGUAUAAUACUGGGUAAAUAAAUAAGAUUAACACAUUAUUAUGUUUUUCAUUGAGGUUAAAUGUAUACUCACAUUGAAGAUGUUUAUUGUAGUUUUCAUUGGAUGUUGCAUGUCAUCGAUCUUCGAGAGAACUGUGUUUAUGUUUUGGACUCUCUUCGAAGUAAAGUUAACGAAGACAUCCAUGGAGUCAUAAAUGUGACUUAUGAUUUACUUCUUAUUUGGACUUCAUUGUCUUCUAAUUCUAAUGUUUCCAAAUGUAUAGAGGAUUAAAAACAUGGCAAGCUAAGCAUGAUUUACAACAUUAUCGGUCAAAUCCGAAAUGGAAACCUAUAAAGGUAAUUUGCAUUGACACAUAAUUAUUUUCAAUGAAACAUAAGAAUAAUUUGUAUGUAAUUUAUAUACAUGCAGUGUCCUCGUCAAUUGGAUUCGGUUGGGUGUGGGUAUUAUGUCCAAAAGUAUAUACAUGAAAUCGUGCAUAAUUCUAGUACUCCCAUCACUAGCCUUGUAAGUUUCUACUUUCACUUUUUAUAUGUUACAAAUUACAUAAAUUAUCUAAACUUAGUCUUUUAUAUGUUGAAUUCUAUAGCUAGAAAUAGUAUUAGUUUGCCAUUGGAUGUGUGGAAGUGUAUGCUGGUUUUGUAGGGGUUGAUCUUCCUUGUAGGUGAAAUGGAAAUAUUGGUUUGCCAUGGAAGUGUGGAAAUGUAUGUGUUGGUUUUGUAGGUUUCUUACAUGUUGAAUUCUAUAGCUAGAAAUAUAUUAGUUUGUCAUUGGAUGUGUGGAAGUGUAUGCUGGUUUUGUAGGUGUUGAUCUUCUUCCUUGUAGGUGAAAUGGAAAUAUUGGUUUGCUAUGGAAGUGUGGAAAAAUGUAUAUAUGUUGGGUUUUUAGGUGUUGAAUUCUGUAGCUAGAAAUAUUAUUAGUUUGCAUCGAAGUGUGGAAGUGUAUGUGCUGGUUUUGUAGGUUUGAAUUCUAUAUAGCUAGAAAUAGUAUUAGUUUGCCAUUGGAUGUGUGGAAGUGUAUGCUUGUUUUGUAGGUGUUGAUCUUCUGCCUUGCAGGUGAAAUAUGGAAGUAAUAUAUAAGGUUUGCCAUGGAGUGGUAGACAGCUAGCAAUCAUGCAACAAUUAUUUUUUAUACUUUUUUAAUAUUCGAUGACGAACAUUUCAUGUCGUAAUUCGUAACAAAUAAUGUCGAUUUCGACACCAUGAAAAAUAAUUAAAAUAAAUAAAUUAAAAAAACAAACAAGGCUUUGAUGUCGGUUUAAAAACGACAUUAAAGGAAAACCAACAGUAAAGGUCAACAAUUACGCCAUAAAAAAUGUUGAUUUAAAACCGACAUCAGUGGCCAUCAAUGAUGCAUUUGAUGUCAUUUUUAAACUGACAUCAAAGCAAAAAUGACAUUAAAGGCCUUUAAUAACGCUAGCAUAGAUGUCAAUUCCGAACUGACACCGAAGGCCAUUAAUGUCGGUUCUAAACUGACAAUAAAGAGCAAAUUUCUUCUAGUGCUUGCUCCAUAUUAUAAGUAGAUUUUCAUUUAGCUAACUGCUAAAGUGAACUUAUGGACUUCCACUUAGGGUUCAGUCGUUAUAUUCUCGAUAGUCGAGCCCCAUAUUAUUCUCGAUAGCCGAGCCCCAUAUUGUUUGCAAUGGAAUGAGUCCUCACAUUACCCUUGAGGAGACGAACAUGAGAGCUUUUCCCUUCUCGUAACACGAAGAAAUGAAAGAUUAGCUCUAUUACUUGUCACCAGGGAGCAUUAUUUCAUGGGAGUAGAUGUAGAGACAAUAUUUGGAAAAGUUCUUUUCAACCUUUUAUGCUACUAGUGUGAGGAAGAAAAUCUAUGGCAUCACACAAGGAAAGGAUGAAUCACUUUACGAUUAUUGGGGGAGAUACUUGGCUCAGUGCCAAGUUUUUCAUCAUUAGGUACAGAACCAUAUGUUGAUUCAAUAUUUAUAUGGGUGAUUGUUGCAAUGAGAUAAAAUGAUUAUUGAUGUGGAGGCAUGAGGUGCUCUUAAGGAUAAUACGACAACUAAAGUAAAUAAAUUGAUUUCACUUUGAAAUGUAAAUUUAUUAGGUCCCUUCCUAGUAUGUAAAGGGUAUUAAGGUUAUUACAUAUUGACUGUAAUUUGAAAUGUUCAUAUUUACUUUGAAAAUUAGUAUAAUGUAUGGUGAUAUAUUAUAAUAUAAAAUUUAUCUUUUAAUUGAACUUUAUUAUAUAAAUUUAAUUUUGUAUAUGAUUUAAAAUUAAUUUAUGAAAUAAUAAAUAUUUGAACGAGUUCAAAUAUUAAUUUAAUAUGAAUUAAAUUUGUAAUAAAACUAUAGAUUAAAAUUUAAUACGUAUAUGAUACAAAUUCAAACAAUAGGUUAUGAGAGAAAUUCAUAUAUGAGUAUGAUUCAAAUCUAUAUUAAAUCAAAUAUAAAAUAUUUAAUUUAGAAAUUAAAUAAUUGAAGAAUUAAUUAAUAAUUUAGUUUAAUUCUAUUUAAUUAAAUUCAAACUAUUGGUUAUGUGAGAGAUAUUCAUUUAAAUGUGAUUUAAAUGAAAUAUUAAUUAAAUGUGAUUUAAAUAAUUAUUAUAUAUUAACUAAUUAUUUUAGUGUUAAUCAAAUUUAAGUGGAAUUUUCAAAUAUACUAAUUAAAUUGAAACUAAUUAGCAUAAUAAUUAAAUUCUCUAUAGCACAUUUGAGUCUUUUUGUAAAUAGUUUCAAUUUUUUGCUAUAUUUUGUAAAUAGUUUUAACUUUUUUGCUAUUUGUGAUCAUUAAUUUAAAUUAAGAUAAUAACUUCCAUAUGUGGGUGUUAUUUAGAGAAUGUGGGAUGCUCCCGUAUUCCUAUAUCCAAGUGGCGGUGAUUUCCAAUUAAAUAUUAAUUAGAUUAAUUUAAGAGUAAUUUACAUAAAUGUAGAAAAAUCCAAAAUAUUUAUGGUUCGUAUAACAAAAUAAGAAAAGUCCAUGAUGCGAGAUUAUUUUUUCACAAAUUCCAUAGACGUCCUUGCGAUUUAUAUCUUCUUUGUGAUUUAUUAAUAACGGGUCAUCUCGAUGCAAUUAAGGUCGAGAUCGAAUAACUAAAGGCAAAAAAAUUUCAUUUCGGAGCAUCUCAAUGUAAUGUAUGCCCAAGAUUAAAUAAAAUAAAGACAGAAUUCUUUCAUCCCGAGCCAUUUCAGUGCAAUUAAGGCCUGAGAUCGAAUAACUAAAGGCAGAAGUCUUUCAUAAUGUAGCAUCUUAGGACAAUGUAUGCUCGAGACUGAAUAAAAUAAAUGUAAAUUUGUUUCAUCCCAGGCCAUCUCUCGGUGCAAUUAAGGUUCAAGAUCGAAUAACUAAAGAUAGAAGUCGAUCGCUCCGGUUAUUGAGGUGUUGUUUCUCUUCAACAAUCAGGACUUAGUGUUAGUAAAUGGUGAAUGAAAAUUAUACUCAAUCUAGGCGAUAUAUCACUAAGCAUGUUAACUGCAUGUGAAUUGCUCACUAGACCUUCAUAUCGUGUGGCAACUAAGUCCUCUUGAGUACAAGUUUUCUUACUACUUGUCCAAGUGCAAGUGAAAUGGUAGGUUUACUUGGGUGAUCCCGGGUCGAACAUAAGGAAUUGAUUCAAGAUAUUAAUUUUAGGUAUUACUUAUUAUCUAGGCAGUAUAAAAGAAUUAAAGAAUAACAAAUGGUAUAAAAGAAAUACAAGAACAAACUACCACUAGAUAUCUACGCUUAGAGAUUCUAUAAGAGGGAAUAUGGAUGACAAAAUAGAAAUGGGAACUAACUUGUAUGCAAGAAAGAGCAAAGGAAUGUCUUUGCGUUAUAAUGCGAUUAAGUAACACGACAACUUUAAUAGGAUAUAUCUCGCUCCAUCAAAACUAAUAAUGAGAUCUAUACCAAUUCAAAGCUGCUCCAUCAAAACUAAUAAUGGACACAGUCAUUUUCUCUGACUCACUCAGUUUGUGUAUCUGAAAGUAUCUCUCAGCCCUAAACAACCAAGAAUCAGGAUCAUUUCCCACAAAAACUGGCAUUUCAAUUUUUUUAAAUUUGCUUCGGUCGCCCGCAGAAUCUUCACCCUCCAACUUGGUAUGUUUUUCCUCAUAUUUUCCUCCCAUCAUCGUCCAAUCACUGACAUCAACCAUGCUGUCAACUCACUUGAUGAUCCUUCUAGUACUUCUUCCAUCGUUGUCUUCCCUUUGAUCAUUCCUUCAAUAUAUUUCAACAGUGUUUCUGGUUGCUGUUGUUUCUUCUCAGCCUGUACUCCUAACCUCUCAAUACUCUUCGCCAAACUAAAACCAUAGAGGAUAAUUGAUAGACCACUAGUACAUGUUCUAUCACUAACUAACAGACGGUAAAACUUUGUUAUAUUUGUGAAUAUCUUCAGCAAUUUUAUCAUUUAAGACAAUUUUUCGUAUAAUAUCGACAUGAACAUCGUAAGAAAACUCAAAUUAAGUAAGUUAAAUUAAAAAAAAAAUUGUAUGAAUGUUUCGAGAACCAUUAAUUAUAAAUUCAACAUUUUUGAAUGAAAAAUUGGAUUGGUUUGUGGUGACGGCUAACAUGCAUGUCUAACAAUUAUUUUCAAUUUCUAAUACUUUCAUCCAUUGCCAAAGUUGGAAACUAAUGUUCACAAUUUUUUUUUAUCUUAUUAAAUGAAAUUUCACAUUUCUUGAAAAUUAUGGAUUAUAAUUAUUUGAAAAACAAAAUAUAUUUUUUUUGCUUUAUCAUUACUGACAAUUUUAUCUCAGUUUUUGCAGUAAAAUUUGAUUUUUUUAGUCUAAGUUUUAAAAACAAAAUAUUUGUUUUAGUUAUAAAGAAAUUGUUUUGGGUUUUAAAUGAGCUUUAUCACAAAUAAUUCAAAUAUAUUUUAAAUGGGUUUUUCUUCACUAAAUCCUUUAUAGUUUUUCCCUCAUCUCCCCUUCUCUCUCACUCACGUUUCCCUCAAUCAAAUAUGAAUACUACGACUGGAGUUUUAUGAAAAAAGCCAAAGCCCCCCCUUAUUGGAUUUGAACCGAUGACUUACGCCUUACCAUGACGUUACUCUACCACUGAGUUAAAAAGGCCUAUUUGAUUCAAUUUCUGAGUAAGCCACUAGCCACGAUGAGUCUAGUGUAUAUAAUUCUUAUAAAUUAUAAAUAAUAAGAUACGUACAUAAAUAUAUCUUAUCCACAUAGUCGCUCAUUGAGGAACUGGAUUUAUCUAAUGAGUAUAGGUAAAAUGGUUUUUUAUAUUGGAUUUAUCAAUGCAAUGAAUUGUUUCAUCAUAAGACCGAUCCCUAAUUAAAUUGAUGAGCCCCAUCCUAACGAAAUGAAUUUGAUUCAUACAUGUACACACACGAAUUGAACAUAGAUACAUUCACCGAAUCAUUGAUAAAGCAAUUCUACUUGGCGAGGAAAAAAUUUUCAAUAACUUGUUGAUCCCUAUCCCCAGAUUUUUAAAUUUAUCGUUUUUGAAUUUCUUGGCUUAGUGUGAGAUCGAAAUAUACCUAACCUAAUCUUAACAAUGAGUGAAUCAAUGAGUGAAAGUAUGAGAAAUGGAGUUUAAUCCUGUUUAUAGCAUAUGACAGACCAAUCACUUCCCGAAGGGUACUAGCCUUCGUAUUAUUUAAAUAAAAAAAGAAUAUUUUUUUUGAAUAUUUAUUAUUUUUGUUUAUUUUAGACGUUUCUUCUAAUCACUACUAAUCACUAUUUUCAUUUGAUAUUCUAUAAUAAGUAAUAUAACUAUAUAUUCCAAUUUGCAAAUUUAUGUAUAUUAUUUAAAUUAAAUAAAUAAAAAAAGAAAAUAAAUAAAUAAAUAAAUAAUGCAAUUGAAUUUUAAAUAAAAGAAUUUCUUCCCCUACUUCUUCUCUAACGGCUCUUUCUCUCUACUUUCUCGUCCUCUCCCCUUCUCUUAUCUUCUUCGUCUUCCUCAAAAUCGCGAUUCACGGCCAUCUUCUUCUCCUAGCCCUAACAGCGCUGGAUUUCUCAACUGUCGAUCGAGUGACAAUCAUGCCUGCCUGCUUGACAAAGCCUUUUCGGUCUACCAAUAAAGGAAAAGCGAUUGCUGGUGACACGAAAGCUGUGCUCGACGCUCUUUUUCCUAUUCCACUGCGCGUCGUGGUCUUUCCCUUGCUCUUUGGAUGACUACUGUGGACGAAGAGCACAACUACUUCCAGUCUCUGGUCGAUAAGUACCCAAGGAAGGUAAAUUCCAGCGGAGAAAGUCGAGAGCUCCUUAGUUGAUCACAAAUCCUUCCAAAUUCUUUGUUCGUAGACUAAUUUGAAAUCCUUCCAAAUUCUUUGUUCGUAGACUAAUUUGAAAUCCUUCCAAAUUCUUUGUUCGUAGACUAAUUUGAAAUCCUUCCAAAUUCUUUGUUCGUAGACUAAUUUGAAAUCCUUCCAAAUUCUUUGUUCGUAGACUAAUUUGAAAUCCUUCCAAAUUCUUUGUUCGUAGACUAAUUUGAAAUCCUUCCAAUAUGGAUCCAUGCUGUCUUUUAUAUCCAUAAGAUACCAAUUAGAUUGUGUUAAUUAUUGUUUAUAAGAAAAUAUUUGUGUGCAGAGUUGCAGUGGGUAAAUCUUAAUGGCUGCCAGAAAAUUGGUUCGGGAUAUAUUACUCUCAACACAAAGUAUUUUUUAUCAGUUUACUUCCCAUCGGGUAUUUGCUCUUCCUAUGCUUUAUCCUUAUCCCAUCUUUCUCCGCUCUAGUCUUCAUAGGAUGGAUUUCUGUGGUGUAAAUUUAUUCAUCUACUUUGUUUGAUUUAUGGUUGCAUUUAGGGAGAAGGUAAAUUACAUAAGCCAAAGUAGUUAUGGAAAACAUCUCCAAUUUACAGCAAGUUAAAGAAAAAAAAAGAAGAGAAAAACAGCAGUUCAAAAAAACUGGGCAUCUUGCUUCUUUCUUAUUGAUGUAUGUAAUUUACAAAAGGUUUGGUGGAACACCUACAACAAUCUUUUUGAACUUUUUGGUAGGUUAUGAAUUACGAACUUGUAUUGAAUAUUUGUUAGGUCGUUUUAAUAAUUCAAGUGAUGCUUAGAAAAUGCAACCGAGCUUAAACAAUUCUGCACAUUUUUCUAAAAUUUUUAGUUUAACCUUUUUAAUAAAAUUCGAUGGAAAUUCUUGUUUUCUUUUUGUAGGAAUAAAGGAAAAUGAAAUAUAACCAAACUUGGGAUCUUUGCAAGCAAGCUUCCAUGAAGAAACUAGGUUACAAGGGGAGGUCUUCUGUUCUCCUUUUUCUUUUUUUUUUUCCAUCCGUAGAAUCUUGCUUAAAAUGCUUUGAGGACAAUGCAUAUUUUUAAGUGGGGGUGGGGUUGUAGCCUUGCACAUUCCAUGUCCUUUGGGAAAUUUUUAUUUUGCAAAUUUUGCUAAAAAUGUCAAAAUUUAGAAACUUUUGCAAUGCUCUAUGCUUAGAAUAAGUACCAUGUCUACUUCGCUUUUUAGCAUAAAAAAGCAUGUAUGCCUAACGCAUGAGAACGGAGCUCGGAUUUGUGAUUGUAUUUGUUCUUUGAAUAUGUUACAUAUGUUGAAAAUGCAUAUAUUGAUAGCUUAGAAAUGAGUAGAACACUUGGUUCAUUUUCUGAAUAUUGUGAAUUAUGUACAUAAUAAUAUGUGCGGUUCUCUUUUUUAUCUCAAUUUUAAUCCCCUUUUUUGCCAUAUUCUAAUGCCUUUUUUAUAUUAAUUUUAAAUCCCUCUUUUGGCCAUACACAUUUGUAUAAGAUUGUUUGAAAGCAAAAUAUGAUUGUUAGGUCAGGUAGAAAGCAAAGUCGGCAAGUUCUUAGAGUUCUUCACCCAACAUAACAGCCGAUAGAAACAAAACAAUACGACCAAGCUGCUAAGGGUUGCAAAACCCGACCCCCGCCUAGUGGGUCACUAGAGUUCCCCAGCAUGGCAGCCGGUAGAGAGGGAGCGAGAAAAAAAAGAGGGAGCCAAGCCAGCCGCUUAGGUCAAGUAAAAUGCGUGCCGAGAUCCCCCGGUUUCAGAGUUUUCGUGGGGAUCCUCUCCGCUUUUAUUGCCUAAGCAAAACCCGAUCCCGCCUAGUAGGUCCUUAGAUUUCUUCACCAAGCAUGGCAGCCGGUAGAGAGGGAGAGAGAAAAAAAAGAGGGAGCCAAGCUAGCCAGCCGCUUAGAUCAAGUAAAAUGCGCGCUGAGAUCCCCCGGUUUCAGAGUUUUCGUGGGGAUCCUCUCUGCUUUUCUUGCCUAAGCAAAACCCGACCCCCGCCUAGUAGGUACUUAGAGUUCUUCACCCAGCAUGGCAGCCUGUGAGAGGGAGCGAGAAAAAAAAAAAGGGAGCCAAGCCAGCCGCUUAGGUCAAGUAAAACGCGCGCCGAGAUCCCCCGGUUUCAGAGUUUUCGUGGGGAUCCUCUCCGCUUUUCUUGCCUAAGCAAAACCCGAUCCCGCCUAGUAGGUGCUUAGAGUUCUUCACCCAGCAUGGCAGCCGGUAGAGAGGGAGAGAGAAAAAAAAGAGGGAGCCAAGCCAGCCGCUUAGGUCAAGUAAAAUGCGCGCCGAGAUCCCCCGGUUUCAGAGUUUUCGUGGGAUUGAUCAUUCAAUUUCAGCAAACCCACUUGUUAUAGUCAAAAGCAUAUUUAAGUUGACAAUGGUUAGAAGAUAUAAUAUUACAUUUACCUCAUCACAUCUCUUUGUUCUUCCAACAACCAUUAAGAAAAAUCCCUGUAAACCGAACCCCAUGUAUUCCCUUUUCUCCUCACUCGCCAGAAUUUUGCCCACUCUCCAAACAAAAUCAUUUCAGCCUUAUUUUUGUUCACUGCCCAUUUCCAAAAAUUUCAUUUCCCUCUGAAAAUCUUUGUCGAUGGCCAAACCUGUGGCUGGGAACCGAAUGUUCUCGAUCAUGUCCAGUGCUGAACCUCCCGAUGGACUGCAAGGAUCAAGGGUUAAGGUUGGUUUUUCUAUUUUUGUUGGUUAGAGUUCGUGUUCUGUUUUUUUUUUACUUUGAGUUAAAUCCUUUGUAUUUGAAGAAAUUAAAGUUAUGGGAUGUGAUGCAUGUUGGCAGGGAGCUGAUUCCUUAAAAGUUGGUUAGUGUUCUUUUUCUGUUUUUUUUUUUUUUUACCUUGAGCUAGUUACAUUGUUUUUGAAGAAAUGAAAGUUAUGGGAUGUGAUGCAUGUUGGUUGGUAGGGAGCUGAAUCCUUUCUUAGGAACGUUUUGGGGAGCAUGGAGGCUGUUUAUUUGAGUUGGAAGCCUGCUGCAAAAUCUGUUUUGGAGUUUGUUCGAUCUGUCCAUGAUGAUACAAAUUUGUUAUGAUCAUACUGCAUUUUGAAGUUUUGGGGUAUUUUUCUUCCAUUUCUUUUCUUCUUCAAUUUCUGCUUAUCUUUUUAUUCUUUCUUCUGUAUAUUAUUUUCUAGUGGUCACUUGUUGUGCAAUGUCUUUCUUUUAAGUCAUUGGCUACUUUAUAAAGAGAAGAACAAAGUGAACUAUGCUAUCUUUCUACUCUUUCUACCCCAUUUCCGUAAAGAAGCAAGAAAACAACUAACAGGCAGAUCAAUCUGCUUAAACAUUCAAUUGGCCAUUUAGUCUUUUGGGUUUUAACAUUCUGCCAUUCUUGUCGUUGCUCUUAAAUCUCCUCACAAUCUCUUUGUUAAAUCCCUGUAAACCGAACCCCAUGUCUUCCCUUUUCUCCCCAUCGGCCACAAUUUUUCCCACUCCCCAAACAAAAUCGUUUCAACCUUAUUUUUCUUCACCACCCAUUUCCAAAAUUAUCAUUUCCCUCCGAAAUCCUUUGUCGAUGCCGAAACCUGCUGAUAGGAAUCCAUUGUUCUCGAUCUUGUCGAGUGCCGAACCUUCCAAUCCACUGCAAGGAUCAAGGAUCAAGGGUUAAGGUUUAUUUUUUAGUUAUUGUUCUGUUUUUUUCUGUUUUGAUUUCAUUGCAUUGUUUUUGAAUAAUUUAAAGUUAUGGGUUGUGAUGAUCCUUUCUUAGAAACGAUUUCCCAGUCCUGGAGGCUGCUUAUGUGAGUCAGAAUCACACUGUAAAAUCCAUUUUGGAGCUUGUUCGAUCUAUUGAUGGUGAUACUAAUUGGUUAUGAUCCUAUUGCACUUGCAACUUUUAGGGUAUUUUUCUUCCAUUUCUUUUCUACUUCCAAUUUCAAUUUCAAUUUCUGCCAAUUUUUUAGUUUUCAUAUGUAUAUUGUUUUCCAAUGGUCAUUUGUUGUGUGGUGUCUUUCUUGUAAGUCAUUGGUUACUUUGUAAAGAGAAACACAUUAUGCACUAUGUCAUCGUUCUACUCUUUCUGCAACAUUUCCAUAAAGAAGCAAGAAAACAGCUAGCAGGCAGAUCAAACUUCCUUAAACAUUCAAUUGGCCAUUUCGCCAUUUUGGAUUUAACAUUCUGCAUUUGUGUCGUUACCCUUAAAUCUCCUCACAUCUCUUUGUUCUUCCAAUAAUCGUUAAGAAAAAUUCCUGUAAACCGAACCCCAUGUCUUCCCUUUUCUCCUCAGUCGCCAGAAUUUUCCCCACUCCAAACAAAAUCAUUUCAGCCUUAUUUUUGUUCACUACCCAUUUCCAAAAAUUUCAUUUCCCUCUGAAAAUCUUUGUCGAUGGCCAAACCUGUGGCUGGGAACCGAAUGUUCUCGAUCAUGUCCAGUGCUGAACCUCUCGAUGGACUGCAAGGAUCAAGGGUUAAGGUUGGUUUUUCUUUUUGUUGGUUAGAGUUCGUGUUCUGUUUUUUUUUUUUUUUACUUUGAGUUAAAUCCUUUGUAUUUGAAGAAAUUAAAGUUAUGGGAUGUGAUGCAUGUUGGCAGGGAGCUGAUUCCUUAGAAGUUGGUUAGUGUUCUUGUUCUGUUUUUUUUUUUUACCUUGAGUUAGUUACAUUGUUUAUGAAGAAAUGAAAGUUAUGGGAUGUGAUGCAUGUUGGUUGGUAGGGAGCUGAAUCCUUUCUUAGGAACGUUUUGGGGAGCAUGGAGGCUGUUUAUUUGAGUCGGAAGCCUGCUGCAAAAUCUGUUUUGGAGUUUGUUCGAUCUGUCCAUGAUGAUACACAUUUGUUAUGAUCAUACUGCAUUUUGAAGUUUUGGGGUAUUUUUCUUCCAUUUCUUUUCUUCUUCCAAUUUCCGCUUAUCUUUUUAUUCUUUCUUCUGUUUAUUAUUUUCUAAUGGUCACUUGUUGUGCAAUAUCUUUCUUUUAAGUCAUUGGCUACUUGUUGUGAAAUGGUGUCACUUCUUAGGAACGUUUUGGGGAGCAUGGAGGCUGUUUAUUUGAGUCGGAAGCCCACUGCAAAAUCUGUUUUGGAGUUUGUUCGAUCUGUCCAUGAUGAUACAAAUUUGUUAUGAUCAUAUUGCAUUUUGAAGUUUUGGGUAUUUUUCUUCCAUUUCUUUUCUACUUCCAAUUUCUGCUUAUUUUUUAUUCUUUCGUAUGUAUAUUAUUUUUUAAUGGUCACUUGUUGUGCAAUGUCUUUCUUUUAAGUCGUUGGCUACUUUGUAAAGAGAAGAACAAAGUGAACUAUGUUAUCGUUCUACUCUUUCUACCCCAUUUCUGUAAAGAAGCAAGAAAACACCUAACAGGCAUAUCAAUCUGCUUAAACAUUCAAUUGGCCAUUUAGUCUUUUGGGAUUUAACAUUGUGCCAUUCUUGUCGUUGCCCUUAAAUCUCCUCACAAACUCUUUGUUCUUCCAACAAUCAUUGAGAAAGAUCCCUAGAAUCGGAGCCCCAUGUCUUUCCUUUUCUCCACGCCGGCCAGAAUUUUGCCCACUCUCGAAACAAAAUCUUUCCAACCUUAUUUUUCUUUACAACCCAUUUCCAAAAAAUUCAUUUCGCUUUUUGGAAAAUCAUCGUCUAUGCCGAAACCUGCAUCUUGGAACUGAUUGUUCUCGAUCAAGUCCAGUGCUGAACUCCCGAAUGGACUACAAGGAUCACGGGUGAAGGUUUAUUUCUUUCUUAUCGUUUGUUAGAGUUUUUGUUUCGUAUUGUACUGCCUUGACUUAAUUCCAUUAUUUUUGAAGAAUUUAAAGUUAUGGGUUUUGAUGAUCCUUUCUUAGGAACGUUUUGGCAAGACUGUACACUGCCUAUCUGAGUCGGAAUCCCACUGCAAUAUCCAUUUUGGAGCUUAUUCGAUCAUUUCAUGUUGAUACAAAUUUUUUAUGAUCAUAAUGCAUUUGGAAAUUUUGGGGUAUUGUUCUUCGUUCCAUUUUUUUUCUACUUCCAAUUUCAUUUUCAAUUUCUGCAUAUUUUUUAUUCUUUCUUAUGUAUAUUGUUUUCUAAUGCUCAUAUGUGGUGCAAUGUCUUUCUUUUAAGUCAUUGGUUUUUUGGUGAAUAGAAAAACAAAGGGAACUAUGUCAUCGUUCUACUGUUUCUACGACAUUUCCAUAAAGAAGCAAGCCAGAUCAAACAUUCAGCCAUUCUUUUGGUUGCCCUUAAAUCUCCUCACAACCUCUUUGUUCUUCCAACAAUCAUUAAGAAAAAUCCCUGUAAACCGAACCCCAUGUCUUUCCUUUUCUCCCCACUGGCCGGAGUUUUUCCCACUCUCCACACAAAAUCCUCUCAACCUUAUUUUUCUUCACUACCCAUUUCCAAAAUUUUCAUUUCCUUGGAAAUUCUUUGUCGAUACCGAAACCUGCAGCUGAGAAUCGAUUGUUGUCGAUCAUGUCCCCGGUGCUGAACCUCCCAAUGCACUGCAAGGAUCAACGGUUAAGGUUUAUUCUUUUGUUAUCGUUGGUUUGAGUUCUUGUUCUGUUUUUUUCUGCUUUGAUUUAAUUGCAUUGGUUUUGAAGAAUUUAACGUUAUGGGUUGUGAUGCAUGUUGAUAGCAAGCUGAAUCCUUUAUUAGGAAUGUUUUGGUGAGCAUGGAGUCAGUUUAUCCGAGUCGGAAUCCCACUGCAAAAUCUGUUUUGGGGCUUGUUCGAUCUGUUCAUCAUGAUACAAUUUGUUGAGAUCAUAUCGCUUUUAGAACUUUUGGGGUAUUUUUCUUCCUCCCAUUUCUUCUACUUCCAACUUCAUUUUUAUUUUAUGGAUUGAUCAUUCAAUUUCAACAAACCCACUGGUUAUGGUCAAAAGCAUAUUUAAGUUGAAGAUAUAAUAUUACAUUUACCUCGUAAGUUUUUGGAUGAAUUGGUGAUUUAACAUGGUCUAGAGUGGAUAGUUUAGGAGGCUGUUAGGCCACCAUUGUUGUUUACCUAUAAUAGAAGAAAGAAAAAUAAGGCACGUUAGGAACCAACAACAGUUACUUAAAAAAGAUGACAGUUAUCUAAAACUGGAAGUUAAAUGGAUGAGAGGGAGGUGGGAAAGGGCAGGCAGUUUUUAGUAAAAGGAAGGGCCUGCAAUACUCCAUGAGAGAUAGGGGAAGCAGAGGGCUCACGAUCUUGUUCUGGUUUUAAUUGUAGUAUUUUGAAUUGUGUUUAUUUGUGUUUUGGAUUAGGAGGGUUUCUUUGCUUGUUGUUUGUAAUUUCUCUGUAAUUUUCUUAUUAUUGUAACUUUGACUUUCAAAUAUCAAUAUAAUAGGAAACAGUAGAUCAGUGUUCUAACAAGGUUGUAUGUUCAAAAGUGAGUAGAUAGUUGAGGAGGUCCAAUGUUCAAAAGUGAGUAGAUGGUUUAGGAGGGUCCUAUGUUCAAAAGUUUGCUGGUGUGUAUCUUUGUUGGCUCGACAUGUUUUUAAUUUAUGAUUGUUGUUGGUGGAGAGAGCGGAAGAUGCCGGGGACAGUUUGGAGAAGAUCAAGCGGCAGCUGGCCUCUGGGUCUGGUCGGAAUUUGUUGCAGGGUCCCCUUCUAAAGCGAUCUGAAACAGUAAACUAACGCAUUGCAACUCUUUUUGUCUUUCCUUUUGUUUUGAAUUGAUGGUUACUGCUUAAUUGCGCUGCCUUUAGGUCUUCCAUUUAAAUCGUUCUGACUGUUUUAGUGAUAUUUGAAGACUUAAUUAAAUCACCUAGAAGUACUUAUUAAGAUUAGGACGUCGGGAUUUGUGAUUUCAAGGAGAAUAGAAAUGUGAGAAAUGCCCAUGUUCAUGAUCUAACUGUCAGCAUAUUUGUGUUUAUGAAUAUGGCCGUCGAUGUGAUAGUAUUCUCAGACUGUUUUGUAGUGCGCAUAUGCAGAAUUGUGGUCACAUUUGAUCAGCCUUCUAUUUUCUGCGUUUCUGUUCUUAGACAGCAUUUUUUAUGGCAAUGAGCCUUCAUUGUAGCAAAUCUGAUUUUCUCUAUUACAAUGUUUGCAGUUGAGGAAUUGGAAUGAGCGAUGGGUAGUUUUGGACCCAACAACAGGGAAAAUGGAGUAACCAUACGUCCCAUUUACACUGUUUUUGGUCCUUCCUUCCUUGGUUCAUCAAUGUAGUAAUAUGUUGGUGGAAACAGCUCAUUUCUAAUGCUGCUGCCGAUGGUGAUGGGGUCAAUGGACCUCUGCCAAGAGUGUUCAUAUCACAAAUUGUUGUGGAUUAGUUGAGUAAAUAAACUCAGGUGCGUUUCACCGAAUUCUCGAUAUGCAGAAAUCUGAAUAUAUUUUUUCCUUCUGAAAUUUGGCUACAAGCUGUAUCUUGGUGCUGCAGUAAGUGUAUUGUUAGCGAUGUAGUAGGCAUAAGGUGGGAAUAGGAUGCAUUUUGUGUUUUAUCCAUUUAAGUUUUUGGUUUAUGCAACAAAACCUUAGCUUGAAUUACAACUUCAUAUUAUUUUUCCUACUGCAUUCAGUACAUAAUCAGAAGAUACACUGAAUGUUCUUGCAUUGGGAAGAAGCAUGCUGCUUUGGCUGGUUCUCUGGGUUCCUUCACAUGGGAAAAGCCUUUGCAUUCAGAGUUUGAGCAAUUAGAGCAAGGCUUUUAAUCUCCCAUGACUCUGAAACUUAUGUUAUUUAGGUCACCAUAUUAUCGUGGAGAAUGAACCAAAUUUCAUUUCUGAAUUGUGAUUUCACCAAGAAUUUGAAAACAAAAAUGCAUAUGGUUUUCUUUCUGAUUCUUUUUUAUUGCGUAUUAUUUUUUAUUGGUCAUUUACCUCCCACAGAUGACAUGAAUAGCGCCAAACAACUACAAAGAGAACUGCCACACUCCUAUAAUUGCUGCUAACCUACCUAACUAAGAAUAUACGACAAUCUCGAAAAUGUGCCAAUGAGAGACAUCAUCAGAUCCAGAGAUCAAGUUUGCCAAGAACUACUCAUAGUAGAAUUUGCAAAUAUGUGGUGCAAACUGAGCCAAGAAUAGACAACUCCAACCUUUUUGGAAUAGACGUGGUUAUCAACCUUUUGACUCUCUUCUUCUUUUCUUUCCUGACUUGGAUUCACUGCCCUGAUCAUUGGAUGAAUUUAGUGACUUUCCCUUUGAGUUCUCCAUUGUUUUUCCAGAAGUUGAUGAAUGCUUCAUAUCUCCACUUUCUUUUUCUUUUGCUUUUGAAGAUGUGAACUUAACCUUGGUGGAGAGAUUGGUAUUAUUAGACUUAUCGCCUGUUUUGGUAGACUUGCCUUUUGAAACAGGAGUUUUUGGGGUUUCUUGUUUGGACUUCCCCGUCUUCGAUACAUCUUGCUUGUUGGACUUUGCAACAGCGGCAGGUGUGGAUGUCUCAUCGUCCUUAGAUUUGCUAGUCUUGUUGGAUUCGGCAUCAUCAUUCUUCGACUUGCCAGCGAUUUUGAUGAAAGUACUGAUCUCGAGGGAACUAGAUGCAUUUUAACCUAUUCGGCUUAACUCUCCUACUUUCUAUGGUCUAUUGUGGCUUCAACCGAGGGUGAAAAGUUCCCAACACAAGUUCUGAUCUGGAAGGAACCCGACGCAUUUUAACCUAUUUUGCUUAGCUCUCAUACUUUCUAUGGGCUAUUGUGGCUUCAGCUAAGAGGGAAGAGUUCCUGACACAAGUUAUGAUACCAAAGGAACUCGAUGCAUUCUAACCUAACCAGCUUAACUCUAUUACUUUCUACGAGCUAUUAUUGCUUUCACCAUGAGUGAAGAUUUCCCUAUGCAAGUUCUGAUAUCGAAAGAACCAAAUGCAUUCUGACCCAACUGGCUUAACUUUUCUACUUCCAACGAGCUAUUGUUGCUUCGGCCAAUAGUAAAGAGUUCCCUAUGAAAAUUCUGAUUUCAAAGGAACUCGAUGCAUUCUGACCUAACCGUCUUAAUUCUCUUACUUUCUACAGGCUAUUUUUGCUUCCACCAAGAGUUAAGAGUUCCCUACGAAAGUAUUGGUCCCGAUGGAACCCAAUGAAUUAUGAUUUAACCACUUUAACUCUCCUACUUUCUAUAGUAUUGCUUCGGCCAAGAGGGAAGAGUUCCCUAUGGAAAUUCUGAUAUUGAAGGAACCUGACACAUUUUGACCUAACCAGCUUAACUCUCCUACUUUCUACAAGUUAUUGUUGCUUCGGCCAAGAAAGCAUUCCCUACGCAAAUUUUGAUCCUGAAGGAACCCGACGCAUUCCGACCUAACCGGCUUAACUCUCAACCUUUUUAUGGGCUAUUGUUGCUUCGACAAGAGUUAAGAGUUCCCUAUGCAAGUUCUAAUAUCGAAGGAACCAAAUGCAUUUUGACCUAACUGGCUUAACUCUCCUACUUUCUACAGGCUAUUGUGGCUUUAGCCGAGAGUGAAGAGUUCCAUGAAAUUUCUGGUCAGGAAGGAACCCGAUGCAUUUUAACAUAUUCGGCUUAACUCUCCUACUUUCUAUGGGCUAUUGUGGCUUCAACUGAGAGUGAAGAGUUCCUGACACAAGUUCUGAUCCCAAAGGAACUCGAUGCAGUCUGACCUAUUCGAGUUAAUUCUCCUACUUCCUACGGGCUAUUGUUGCGUCGACCAUAAGUGAAGAUUUCCCUACGCAAGUUCUUAUAUUGAAAGAUCUAAACGCAUUCUCACCUAACUGGCUUAACUCUUUUACUUCCAACGGGUUAUUGAAGCUUCAACCAAGAGUGAAGAGUUCCCUACGAAAAUUUUGAUCCUGAAGGAAAUCGACGCAUUUCUGACCUAAUUGGCUUAACUAUCCGACUUUGUACAGGCUCUUUUUCCUUCAGCCAAGAGUUAAGGGUUCCUUACGCAAGUAUGGAUCCCGAAGGAACCCGACACAUUCUGAUCUUACCGCUUUAACUCUCCUACUUUCUAUAUGAAAUUAUUUCUUUGGCCAGGAGGGAAGAGUUCCCUACGAAAAUUUUGAUACGAAGUGAACCCGACGCAUUCCGACCUAACCAGCUUAACUCUCCUACUUUCUACGGGCUAUUGUUGCUUCAGCCAAAAGUGAAGAGUUCCCUAAGCAAAUUUUGAUUCCGAAGAAACCGAUGCAUACCGACCUAACCGGCUUAACUCCCCGACUUUCUAUGCGUUAUUGUUGCUUUGACUAAGAGUUAAGAGUUUCCUACGCAAGUUCUGAUUCUCGAGGAACCCGAUGCAUUCUAACAUAAAUGGCUUAACUCCCGUACUUUCUACGGGCUAUUGUGGCUUCGGCCGAGAGUGAAGAGUUGUCGAAGAAGUUAUGAUCCCAAAGAACCCGAUGCAUUUUAACCUAACCGGCUUAAUUCUCCUACUUUCUACGAGCUAUUGUGGCUUCAAUCGAGAGUGAAGAGUUCCCGACACAAGUUCUGAUCCCAAAGAAAGCCGACACAUUCUGACCUAACCAGCUUAACUCUCCAACUUUCUACAGGUUAUUGUUGCUUCGACCAUGAGUGAAGAUUUCCCUGUGCAAGUUCGGAUAUCUAAAGAACCAAACAUGCAUUCUGACCUAACUGGCUUAACUCUUCUACUUUCAACAGGCCAUUGUUGCUUCGACCAAGAGUGAAGAGUUCCCUACGAAAAUUUUGAACCCGAAGGAACUCGACACAUUCUAAACUAAUUGGCUUAAAUCUUCGACUUUCUACGGGCUAUUUUUGCUUCCACCAAGAGUUAAGAGUUCCCUACGCAAGUAUUGAUCCCGAAGGAACCCAUCGCAUUAUGAUCUAAUCGCUUCAACUCACCUUCUUUCUACAGGAAAUUGUUGCUUUCACCAAGAGUGAAGAGUUCCCUACGCAAAUACUAACACGGAAGGAACCCGACGCAUUUUGACCUGACCAACUUAUCUUUCCUACUUUCUACAAGUUAUUGUGGCUUCGAUCGAGAGUGAAGAGUUUCCUACGAAAGUUUGAUCCUGAAAGAACCCAAUGCAUUAUGACUUAAUAGGCUUACCUCUCCUACUUUCUACCAGCUAUUAUAGCUUCGACCGUGAGUGAAGAGUUCUGAUGCAAGUUUUGAUCCCAAACUAACCCGACGCAUUCUAACCUAACAAGCUUAACUCUCCUACUUUCUACGGGCUAUUGUAGCUUCAGGCAAGAGUGAAAAGUUCUCUACUUUCUAUGGGCUUUUUAUUAUAAGUGUAAAGAAAUAGGUGUAUGAAUUGGAUUGAUGAACAUAUUUUUGAAUUUUUUUUAAGCUUAAAAGGAUAUUUAUGGAACUUUCAAUAAUUCAUCAAUAUUUUUUAAACAGAACUUUUCAAUAGUUGAUGAUUAUUUUUUAAACAAAACUUUAGCGACUUUCAUCUAAAACCAAAGACAAUGGUAUUUUUGAACCGUUUUCGAAAGUUUAAGGGCAUCUUUCAACUUUUAAAAGGAUACUUUUUUGACACAAACCACUAGGGGUAUUCUAACACUGACAACACUAACAACCCAGACUACCCAUCCCAAAUUUCGAGUAUUAUUACAAAAUAUGUUUUUUAACUUAUGGAUAUGUUGAAUUUUGAUAUUAUGAAAUUUUAGUAAUUGAUAUGUGUGGUAAAAAAAUUUAAGUGUUUAAGUUAAUCAAGAAUACACUCCAUUUACAAGGAGUACAAGGAGUCCAAGUAGAUAUUAGUUGUGUUUGAAAAAUUAUGAAAAAAAUGUCCUAUUUUUAAAAAAAGUACAAUCAAGUGAAAUGUUACAUAAACUUCACAACAUAGUUAAUAAGAUAACACAAUAUUACAAGAUUUUGUUUACACGUAUACAUACAUAUACUAGUGGUUAAAGUAAGAUUAGAUUUGAAUGUAUAUUUAAACGAAAGUUAUGCCAUUCAACUAGAGUAAUAAAAUAACUAAAGAGCUCAAUAAAUUACAACAAAUGUGAUGGUACUUUGACACCAGAAGCAUACUAAAACAAUGGAUAAAAGGAAGCAUACUAAAACACAAGUAAAACAAGAGGAUUAUUUUUAUUGUCUUCCAUUAUCUGAGAGUGGAAUGCAAACAAAGCAAUGCAAAAGCACCAUUCAAGACAUCUGACUGAUUUAUACAAAGUGUAAAUAAGACACCAAUACAAUGCUGAACAUUCUCCUAAACAAGAUGCAACAUACACAUCAUUCAUUUGGCUAUUCAACGGGAAUAUGUCACGUUUUUUGCCAUAAUUAUUCUUGUUUCAUGUUUGCCCACGAUGGCAGGACAAGACUUUUAGGUAAAGCAAAUCCUGGUUUUCCAAUGUCAAAAGGCCUUGGCCGCUUGCAGGUAAUACUUAGUUUUCCAUUUUUAACCUUAAGGUUGCACUUUAUGUUUAAAUUGUCCAUCCGAACAUCUUUUUUUUUUCUUUUUCUUCUUUCCUUCGGGUAAUAAAGAAUAGUGACCUUGAAGAAUUAAGAGAAUUGGGGUCCGGCACCUUUGGCACUUUUUACCAUGGAAAAUGGAGGGGACUGAUGUUGCUAUAAAACGAAUCAAUGAGAGGUGUUUUGCUGGGAAACCUUCUAAACAAGAUCGCAAGGUUGUUCAUUUUAAGCAACUGGCUUUUCUUUUCUUUUGUUAUUCGUGCAUUUUUCUUUUUGUUCCUUGACUCAAGUCCUUUUUGUUGUUUUAUAUUAUACCAGUGAGAAGAUUUUUAGAAUGAAGCAAUUAAGUUUGCUGAUUUGCACCACCCAAAUGUGGUACUUUUUAUGGUGUCGUGCUUGAUGGGCCUGGGAGAUCUGUGGCCACAGUAACAGAAUAUAUGGCCAAUGGUUCGCUCAAAAAUGCUUUGUUGAAGAAUGAAAAGUAACAAUUGUUCUCAUUUUUCAUACGUUUAAUUUAAUUUGUUAGAAGUUAGUUGCAGUAUAAUGUAUCUUCACCCUUAGAUUAAGCAUAAAUACAAUUGAUGCAGGAGUCUUGAAAAGUGGAAGCGCCUCUUGAUUGCUAUGGAUGCGGCUUUUAGAAUGGAACACCUGCACAGAAAGAAUAUUGUGCACUUUGAUUUUGAAAGUGAUAAUCUACUGGUCAAUCUUCGAGAUCCUCAUCACUCAAUAUGCAAGGUUUGUGUAUUACUGAUAAUAGCAGAAUCAUCAUUGUAAUGCAUUCCAUUUAGUUAAACUCUUGAUUUGAUUUUUAAACAAAACAGGAUGAUAACCAAUUUUUAUAGUUAUUGUUGUAAUUAACACAAUUAAUUGUCAAAUAAAAAAUGUAUUUGACUAUUAACAUUUUUUUGUUUGACUAAUUAUAGUAUGUUUUAAGAAGAAAAUAAGCUUGGCUUGUCUUAGAUAUACGGGAUAAAGUAAUGUUUUUAACUAACAAAUGCCUUAAACCAGCAAUGGUCUCAAUCUCCUCCCAAGACCUCUCAAAACCCUUACUCUCUAAUCAAAUGUUCCAUUAAAAAAAAUAUAGUGAGAUAUUUCACAACCUUGAUCGCAUAAGACAACAAUCUCUAUUUCAAACCAAACUAACUCUAAAGGGCUCGACAAAAGUUGAAAAUCAAGGUAGCAAACUGCGAUCUCUAAAGGAUACGAUGUGAUCUAAAGGAAUGCUCCUGUGCUAUAAAUGCAUGGGUGCAGUCCAAACACAAAGGAAGAUUGUCCCUAUAUAUAAUAACUUUUUAUAGGAAGUAUUUUUGAAGUGUUAACUCAUCUAUUUCCAACGGGCUAUUCCUACUUCGACCAAGAGUGAAGAGUUCCUUACGAAAAUUCUGAUUCCGAAGGAACUCAACGCAUUUUGACCUAACCGACUUAACUUUUUGAGUUUCUACAUGUUAUUUUUGCUUCCUCCAAGAGUUAAGAGUUUCCUACGCAAGUAUUGAUUCUGAAGGAACCCGACGCAUUCUUAUCUAACUGGUUUAACUCUUCUACUUUCUAUUGGAAAUUGUUGCUUCAACCAAGAGGGAAGAGUUUCCUACGCAAAUUCUGAUACCGAAGGAACCCGAUGCAUUCUGAUCUAACCAGCUUUACUCUUCUACUUUCUACAUGCUAUUGUUGCUUCAGCCAAGAGUGAAGAUUUCCCUACGCAACUUUUGAUCCUGAACGAACCCGACGCAUUCGGAGGUAGUAGGGAGCUGAUUCCUAAGAAGUUGGUUAGUGUUCUUGUUCUGAUUUUUUUACCUUCAGUUAACUACGUUGUUUCUGAAGAAAUUAAAGUUAUGGGAUGUGAUGCAUGUUGGUAGGGAGCUGAAUCCUUUCUUAGGAACGUUUUGGUGAGCAUGGAGGCUGUUUAUUUGAGUCGGAAGCCCACUGCAAAAUCUGUUUUGGAGUUUGGUCGAUCUGUUCAUGAUGAUACAAAUUUGUUAUGAUCAUAUUGCAUUUUGAAGUUUUGGGGUAUUUUUCUUCCAUUUCUUUUCUACUUCCAAUUUCAUUUUCAAUUUCUUCUUAUUUUUUAUUCUUUCUUAUGUAUAUUAUUUUCUAAUGGUCACAAGUUGUGCAAUGUCUUUCUUUUAAGUCAUUGGCUACUUUGUAAAGAGAAAAACAAAGUUAACUAUAUCAUCAUUCUACUCUUUCUACCCCAUUUCCAUAAAGAAGCAAGAAACCAGCUAACAGGCAGAUCGAACUGGCUUAAAGACUCAAUUGGCCAUUUAGUCUUUCGAGAUUUAACAUUCUGUCAUUGUUGUCGUUGCCCUUAAAUCUCCUCACAAUCUCUUUGUUCUUCCAACAAUCAUUAAGAAAAAUCUGUGUAAACUGAACCCCAUGUCUUCCCUUCUCUUCCCACCGGCGAGAAUUUUUCCCACUCUCCACUGCAAAACCCAUUUUGGAGCUUAUUCGAUCAGUUCAUGUUGAUACAAAUUUUUCCGAAUCGUAAUGCAUUUGUAACUUUUGGAGUAUUUUUCUUCCUUCAGUUUGUUUUCUACUUUCACUUUCAUUUUCAAUUUCUGCGUAUUUUUAUUCUUUUUUAUGUAUAUUGCUUUCUAAUGGUCAUUUGUGGUGCAAAUUCUUUCCUUUAAAUCAUUGGUUAUUUUGUAAAUAGAAAAACAAAGUGAACCAUGUCAUCGUUCUACUCUUUCUAUAACAUUUCCAUAAGGUUUAUUUUGCAGUUAUCGUUGGUUAGAGUUGUUCUGUUUUUUUCUGCUCUGAUUUCAUUGCAUUGUUUUGAAGAAUUUAAAGUUAUGGGUUGUGAUGAUCCUUUCUUAGAAACGGUUUGGCAUUCCUAGAGACUGCUUAUGUGAGUUGGAAUCGCACUGUAAAAUCCAUUUUGGAGCUUGUUCGAUCUUUUCAUGGUGAUACAAAUUGGUUAUGAUCAUAUUGCACUUGGAACUUUGGGGGUAUUUUUCUUCCUUCCAUUUUUUUUUCUACUUCCAAUUUCAUUUUCAAUUUCUGCAUAUUUUUUAUACUUUCUAUUGUAUAUUGUUUUCUAAUGGUCAUUUGUGGUGCAAUGUCUUUGAUUUAAGUCAAUGGUUAUUUUGUACGUAGAGAAACAAAGUGAACUAUGUCAUCGUUCUACUCUUUCUACAACAUUUCCAUAAAGUAGCAAGAAAACAGCUAAAGAUCAAACUGCCUAAAACAUUCGAUUGACCAUUUAGUCUUUUGGAUUUAACAUUCUGCCAUUCUUGUGGUUACCCUUAAAUCUCCUCACAAACCUCUUUGUUCUUCCAGCAAUUAUUAAGAAAAAUCCCUGUAAACCGAACCCCAUGUCUUCCCUUUUCUCCCCACCGGCCAAAAUUUUUCCUUCCAUUAUUUGUUAUGAUCAUAUUGCUUUUAGAACUUUUGGGGUAUUUUUCUUCCUUCCAUUUUUUCUACUUUCAACUUCAUUUUUAUUUUAUGGAUUCAUCAUUCGAUUUCAGCAAACCCACUGCUUAUGGUCAAAAGCAAAUUUAAGUUGACAAUGGUUAGAAGAUAUAAUAUUACAUUUACCUCAUAAGUUUUUGGAUGAAUUGGUGAUUUAACAUGGUCUAGAGUGAAUAGUUUAGGAGGUCUGUUAGGCCACCAUUGUUAUUUACUUAUAAUAGAAGAAAGAAAAAUAAGGCACUUUAGGAACCAACAAUAGUUACUUAAAAAAGAUGACAGUUAUCUAAAACAGGAAGUUAAAUGAACGAGAGGGAGAUGGGAAAGGGCAGGCAGUUUUUAGUAAAAGGAAGGGCUGCAAUACUCCAUGAGAGAUAGGGGAAGCAGAAGGCUCAUGAUCCUUUUCUGGUUUUAAUUGUAGUAUUUUUAAUUUGUUUAUUUGUGUUUUGGAGUAGGAGGGUUUCUUUGUUUUGUUGUUUGUAAUUUCUAUGUAAUUUUCUUUUUAUUGUAACAUUUGAGUUUCAAAUAUCAAUAUAAUAAACACCACAUCUGUGUUCUAUCAAGUUGUAUGUUCAAAAGUGAGUAGAUAGUUGAGGAGGUCCUUAUGUUCAAAAGUGAAGUGAAUUCUAGGUGAUACAAUAUAAAAUUUAUUCUUAACCCAUCAGCUUAAGCUUUUGGGUGAUUAAAUGGUUUAACAAAAUAUGAUUCCAAAGUAGAAAUCAAGUGGAGAGGACACAAAGGCUAGUAUUAGGUAAGGUGAAGAAAGGUUUCUUAUAUCAAUUUCUAAUGCUGGCUGUUAGAACAUAAUUUAUGUUGAAGUUUGUAAUAGUACUCUACUUCAUUUGUACAAUCUCUUACUUCAUUUGUACAAUGCCUUCUACUUCUAUUGUACAAUGUACUCUACUUCAUUUGUACAAUGCCUUCUUUACUUUAUUGCUACAAUGGAUACAAUUAGUUGAGUCAACAUUGUUAAAUCAAAAAAGUUGCUUGAUGUUUGUUGAGUCAACAAUCAAUUCUUUACUGUAACUAAUGUUGAAGUUGUGUUUGUAUUCUGUGAUGAACUAGAUGGAUGGCGUGGGAUUGACUCAUUAGCAAGAUUUUACCUGUAUUUUGGAUAUACUCAAAAAGAAGAAUUAUCAUUCCCAACCAAAAAGUUGAAAGCAUUUUGGUUUUCACCUCCCUCCAUUUCUAAUGCUGCUGAUGAUGGUGAUGGAGUCAAGGUUGAGUCAACCACAGUUUGAACCAUGCACAAUGCUCUCUCUUUCUAGACUUUUAAUGCACGGUCAUUCUGUUUUCCGGCACUGGUUGUAAAGCAGUUCUCACUUUCACGCCACCUCCAACAACUUUUGUGUUGAUGUUAUUAUUUUCCAUCUUCUUAUGAUUAAGUUGGAGUUUUUCCUUGAACAACUUCCUCAGCUGCCUUAGGCUAGUAUUAUCAUUCUUCACCACUAACUGAAUGAACUUUUCUUUGUUCUGUUCUUUUUCAGCUUCUUCUUCCUCAGCAUCUGGGUUGUCCAUUAGCAAACUAAUGGUUUGUUCUUCAACGGGAGAUUUGGCUUCUAUUGUUGGCCUAGGGAAUUGGUUGCCAAUGAUUGAAUUGCAUUGUUGUUGGAGGAUGUGAUAGUGAUUUCCACCAAAGCUUCCUCACAUUGAACAAUGGCAUUUGGGAUUUCUGGUUGUGAGUCGAUAGCUUCGACAAUUAUGUCUUUAGGAAGAGUUUCUUCUUCCAUUUUCCAUUGGAUCUUGACAUCAACCAAAUCAUCAGAAACAUUCUCGGGGAACUCCUCCGUGGACUUAUUGAUAAUUGUAUCAUCUUCUUCAGCUUGAACGAAACUUUUCUCAUUUUUGUUUCCUUCUUGUCUCCUUCAAUGUCAGCAUCUGAUGCUACAUUUCCGGUUGUGGGAUCUGAUCAUUUUCAUCUUGAUCGUCUUUCACUUCCAAAGAUUCUUCAUCACUGCUCAAGGCAUCAUCUCUAUCAACUUCAGUUUCUUCUUCCACAUUUUCGUGGGAAGAGACAGUUCUUCAGCAGAGUUAUUCACGUGUGUUUUCUUCUUCAACAUCUUCUUCAAUUUUAUGUUCCAAUUCACAGGUAGACUCAUUUUGUUGAGAUUCAAAUUCCAUACCAAAUUCUUCUGCAAUGCUCGAUUUGUGAACUUCAGUAACAUCCAAGUCUUCAGUAGGCAGAGAAGAUUUGUCAGAUUCAUUGAUUUCCUCAGCAGAAAUCUCCACAAAAUCAUCAUCUUUCGAAACUUCAUUUACUUUUUCAUCUUCAGAGAAGCAUUGCACAUCCGAGUUAGCAUGAGGUGCCUCUGUUUUAGAAUCAUCAACGCUCUUUGCACUAAUUACAUUUUCAUCAAAAGAUUUUAACAGAUCAUCAAGAACCAUUUCUGGUUCCUUCUCUGAGAGUGCAGUAAGUGUAUUGUUAGCAAUGUAGUAGGCAUAAGGUAGGAACAUGAUGCAUUUUGUGUUUUAUCCAUCUAAGUUUUUGGUUUAUGCAACAAAACCUUAGCUUGAAUUACAACUUCAUAUCAUUUUUCCUACUGCAUUCAGGACAUAAUCAGAAGAUACACUGAAUGUUCUUGCAUUGGGAAGAAGCAUGCUGCUUUGGCUGGUUCUUUGGGUUCCUUCACAUGGGAAAAGCCUUCACAUUCAGAGUUUGAGCAAUUAGCAAGGCUAUUAUUCUCCCAUGACUCUGAAACUUAUGUUAUUUAGUUCACCAUAUUAUCGUCGAUAAUGAACAUAAUUUCAUUUCUGAAUUGCGAUUUGACCAAGAAUUUGAAAACAAAAAUGCAUAUUGUUUUCUUUUUUAUUCUUUUCUAUUGCGUAUCAUUUUCUAUUGGUCAUUUGUUGUGCAAUGUCUUCUUCUUAAGUCAUUGGUUACUUUGUAAAGAGAAAAACAAAGUGAUUUAUUUCAUCGUUCUACUCUUUCUACAACAUUUCCGUACAAAAACAAGAACACUGCUAACAGGUAGAUCAAACUUCGCUAAAAUUCGUUUCCCUUCUUGGAAGAUAUUCGUCCAUGCCUAAACUUGCAGCUGGAAACUGAUUGUUCUCGAUCAUGUCCAGUGCUGAACCCCAAAUGGAUUGGAAGGAUCAAGGGUGAAGGUUUAUUUUCUUCUUAUCGUUGGUUAGAGUUUUUCUUUCGUUUUCUUCUGCUUUGAGUCAAUUCCAUUGUUUUUUAAGAAUUUAAAGUUAUGGGUGUGAUGAUCCUUUGUUAGGAACGUUUUGGCAAGACUGGAGACUGCUUAUCUGAGUCGGAAUCCCACUGCAAAAUCAUUUUGGAGCUUAUUCGAUCAGUUCAUGUUGAUACAAAUUUCUCUUGAUCGUAAUGCAUUUGGAACUUUUGGAGUAUUUUUCUUCCUUCCAUUUAUUUUCAACUUUCAAUUUCAUUUUCAAUUUCUGCGUAUUUUUUAUUCUUUCUUAUGUAUAUUGUUUUCUAAUGGUCAUUUGUGGUGCAAAUUCUUUCCUUUUAAGUCAAUGGUUAUUUUGUAAAUAGAAAAACAAAGUGAACCAUGUCAUCGUUCUACUCUUUCUACAACAUUUCCAUAAAGAAGCAAGAAAACAAUAGUCUUUUGUGAUUUAACAUUUUGCCAUUCGUGGCGAUACCCUUAAAUCUCCUCACAAUCUCUUUGUUCUUCCAACAAUCAUUAAGAAAAAUCCCUCGAAUCUGAACCCCAUGUCUUUUCUUUUCUCCUCACCAGCUAGAAUUUUGCCCACUCUCCAAACAAAAUCUUUUCAACCUUAUUUUUCUUUACUACCCAUUUCCAAAAAUUUGAUUUCCCUCCUCGAAAAAUCUUCGUCCAUGCAGAAACCUGCGGCUGGGAGCUGAUUGUUCUCGAUCAAGUCCAGUGCUGAACCCCCAAAUGGAUUGCAAGGAUCAAAGGUUAAGGUUUAUUUUUUUGUUAUCGUUGGUUAGAGUUUUUGUCUUUUUUUUUCUGCUUUGAGUUAAUUCCAUUGUUUUUGAAGAAUUUAAAGUUGUGGGUUGUGCUGAUUCUUUCUUAGGAACGUUUUGGAAAACCUGGAGACUGCAAAUCUGAGACGGAAUUCUACUCAAAAUCCGUUUUGGAGCUUGUUCUAUCUGUUCAUGGUGAAUCAAGUCUGUUUUAUUCUGCUUGCAUUUCAUUUUGAAUUUUUGCAUAUUUUUUGUUCUUUUCGAUGUAUAUUGUUUUCUAAUGGGCAUUUAGUGUGCAAUGUCUUUCUUUUAAGUCAUUGGUUACUUUGUAAAGAGGAAAAAAAGUGAACUAUGUCCUCGUUCUACUCUUUCUACAACAGUUCCAUAAAGAAGCAAGAAAACUGCUAAAACAGGCUGAUCAAACUUCCCUAAACAUUCAAUUGGUCAUUUAGUCUUUUGGGAUUUAACAUUUUUCCAUUCUUUUUGUUUCCCUUAAAUCUCUUCAUAAUCUUUUUGUUCUUCCAACAAUCAUUAAGAAAAAUCCCCGUAAGUCGAACCCCAUGUGUUCCCUUUUCUCCUCACCGGCCAGAAUUUUGCCCCUACAAUCAAAAUCAUUUCAACCUUAUUUUUCUUCACUACCCACUUCCAAAAAUUUCAUUUCCCUAUGAAAAUAUUUUCCGAUGCCGAAACUUGCGGUUGGGAACCGAUUAUUCUCUAUCAUGUCCAAUGUUGAACCUCCCAAUGGAUGGCAAGGAUCAAGAGUUAAGGUUGAUCUUUUUGUGAUUGUUGGUUAGAGUUCUUGUUCUGUUUUUCUGUCUUGAUUUAAUUUCGUUGUUUUUGAAGAAUUUAAAGUUAUGGGUUGUGAUGAUCGUUCGUGCGUGUGCGAACAUGUUGAUAUUUUUUUAGUGAUGAGAUUCUUCCAAUUUUAAAAUAAUAAUUUCGUUAUCUUGAUGUUUAAGCCAUUAAUGUUAUUUUGAGAUAAAAAUAGCGAACAAGUUGAUAUUUUUUAAUUUUGAAUUCAAUUAAGGUUAUUUUGAUACAAAAUCUAUGUUGAGAUUCUCAAAUUCUGAAAAAUAAUAAUUUUGUUAUUUUGAAAUUCAAAUUCAAUUGGGUUAUUUUGAAAUUAGUAAGAUUGAAUAAAGUUAUUAAAAUAUUGAAUCAAUUAGUUGAGUCCCAAGAUAUUAAAAAAAAGUUGCAAUAUGGAUUGAUGUAUAUUUUUCAAGUAAAAAUUAAUUAAAAGCUGAUAAAUGACAUAAAUUAAUUACAACGUAGAAACUAAAUAAUUACAGUUGGAGAAGGUGGAUAUUUUGUAAAAUACCAUGCACGUGCAAAAAAUGUUAUUUGCUAAAAUUCAAAAGAAAAAAUAGUUUUUCCAUUUUUAAAAUAACCCAUAGAAAAGUUGUUAUAUCUCUUAUAACAAAGAGUGUGGAUCUACAGGUCCAUAUUCGACUUAUUUUUUGUUGGUAAAAUUGCAUAAAACCGCAUUAUAUUGAAAUAAUGACACUCUUAAACCAAUAUUGAUAGAAAUUAUAAUUUAAUUAAUGUUUUUAAAUCAAAUGAACAUGAUUUUUACUCCUAAACAUAAUUAUUGUAAUUGUUUUUUAAUCUUAAUUCAUUUACACAUCUUUGUGCAUAUGUGUGCGUGUGCGUGCGCGUGUGCAUGUGUAUGCGCGUGUCCGUGUGUGCGCAUGUGCACGUGUGUGUGUGUCUAUGUGUGCGUGCGUGCGUGUGUAUGUGUGUGCUCGUGUGCUUGUAUACGAACAAGUUGAUAUUUCUUAAUAGUUGAUAUUCAAGUCAUUAAUAUUAUUUUGAGAUAAAGAUAUCGAACAAGUUGAUAUUUUUUAAUUUUGAAAUUCAAUUAAGGUUAUUUUGAUACAAAAUCUAUCGUUGAGAUUCUCAAAUACUAUUAAAUUAUAAUUUUGUUAUUUUGAAAUUCAAAUUCAAUUUGGUUAUUUUGAAGUUAGUAAGAUUGAAUAAAAUUAUUAAAAUGUUAAUUCUCAAAUUAUAUAAAUUUGGUUACACUAGAAGAAAUUUUCCAUUCAAUAUCGGUUUAAAAUCGACAUUAAUGAUCUUUGGUGUCAGUUCGGAACGACAUUAAUGAUCUUUGGUGUCAGUUCGGAACUGACAUCUAUGCUACCGUUAUUAAAGGCCUUUAAUGUCGUUUUUGCUUUGAUGUCGGUUUAAAAACGAUAUCAAAUGCAUCAGUAAUGUCGGUAUGGUCAUUGAUGUUGGUUUAAAACCGACAUUUUUUAUGGUGCUAUUGUUGACCUUUAGUGUCGGUUUGCCUUUGAUAUCGUUUUUAAACCGACAUUAAAGUCUUGUUUUUGGAUCUAUUUUUACAAAAAAAAAAUAUAAUUAUUGCAUUAUUGUUCAUUUUUUAUAAACUGACAUUAGAUACGUGUAAAUAAAUAUUUUUUUCUCACACCAACAAAUCAAUAAAAUUAAUAUUAUUUUAGGAACUACAAUAUUUUUCUUUUACAUUUGUAUAUAGAAAAUGAAAUCUUAAUAUUGCGUUUGUAUAUACAUUCUAUUAUAAUACAUGAAACUAGAUCCUAAUACAAGACUUAAAUAAGAAAUCUUAAACGCUUUCACAAUCUUCAACUUCAACAAUUGCUUCCAUCUACUUAGCUUAGCUUGGCUGGCUAUCUAAGACCAAAAUAUACUUUACAACCUGGGGAAGAUUAAAUCUAGAAUUUGCAAAAUUAGUACAUAUUAUUUAAAAUCAAACUAAACAUACUGCAAUCUAAAUGUGGAAAAUUAAAAAUUACCACAAAGUUUCAGUAGAGUAAAUAAUGUAGCAGCAACAAAGAAGACAAUUGAAAUGGCAACCCAAAAGUGCUGCAAAAAUAAAGAAGAAAAUAAGCUUUGAUCAAACAACUCAUUAAGAAGAAGAAAAUAACCUAAUUUGGUUCUUCAAAGAUCUAUAAGAAAAAGAGGAAUACAACUAAAGAAUAAUUAUACCAUCCUCGACUCUUACUUCAAAGCAAAUUUUGAAUGUUCAAUUUAGCAAUGCUAGUCUAUAGGCUUCUUACUCUUAAUUGUAUAAAUUUACCCAUCAAUAGCAACAUUGUUUUUAUAGAGAAAGUUAAACAAUGGAGAUGAUAAAUAAUCUUACAAACUCCUAUUGGAUCGUUUUUCUUUUCAAAUGAAAAUAGUUAAUUUAUUUCAUUUAUGGAAGGUGAAAAUCUCAAAUAUAUAGUAAAAGAACAUGGAAUAUAAGGAAGCCCAUAAAAAGAAGAGACUCCACUAGCUAGGUAUUGAUCAAAGAUAAAUAUAUGGAUAAAUAGAUGCAACCUACAAAUAUAUCAAAACAGACUAAUACUCAAACUAAACUAAAGAAAACAAAAACAUUUACUACUAAAAGAUAAAAUAAAACACAAUUCAAAACAAUUAAUUACCAAGAUUGAUCUCAAUCGAAAACCAAAACGCAUCACAUUAUGAAGAUAUUGUGCUUCACAUAACACUCCAAAUAGCUAUACCAAAAUUACUUACUCUACAUUUUCCAUUUUGGCAAAUCCACCUACAAGAAUGCUAGUUACCAAGCUCAUUUCUAUGCCUUCUCUUCUUUCAUUUUUCUAACAAAAGAUAGUAUGAAUAAGGCUGCACAUUUGAAAAAAUAAAGACAAUUAAUAAUCAAUAAUGCUACCUAGCAGUCACAAGUUAACAAUCAAAUGAAGAAACCCAAGGAUUUUUGCGGCGGAAGCACGAUGAAGAUUGGUCGCCGUUCGCGAUCUAGGGUCACAGAUUGAGAAGAGAAAAAAUUAGAAACCAACUUGGAGAGAAAGAAAAGAAAAAUUGAUAGGGAAAGAGUAGAGUAAGAAAGAGAGGAAAAAUUUAGUUUUUAAAACCUAACAAUUUUUUAAAAAGAAAUUAAAAAUGGGGGGUCAUUAAUGUUAGUUUUUACAAAAUACAAAAAAUUAAAAAAAAAAUAAAACUGGCUGAUCAUUAAUGUCGAUUUAAAAACGACAUUAAACCCUUAUCAUUAAUGUCGGUUUGAUCCACCUUUUCAAAAACGACAAUAAAGAUAAUUUUUCAUUUUUUUCACCUGACACUACAACCCAGAUUUGUUGUAGUGUUAUUAUGGGUUGAUGUAUCUUUUUCAGAUAAAAAAUGCUAUUUGCUAAAAUUCAAAAGAAAAAGUUGUUUUGUCAUUUUUUAAAAUGACCCAUAAAAACAUUAUUAUAUCUCUUAUGACAAAGAGUGUGGAUUUACUAGUCCAUAUUUGACUUGUUUUUUGUUGGUAAAAUUGGAUAAGAUCGCAUUAUAUUGAUAUAAUUACACUAAUGACACUCUUAAAUCAAUAUUAAUAGAAAUUAUAAUUUAAUUAAUGUUAUUAAGUUAAAUGAAUAUAGUUUAAAAGUCAUUCUAAACACAAUUAAUGUAAUUGUUUUUUAAAUUUAAUUCAUUUUCACAUCUUUGUGCAUAUGUACGUGUGUGCGUGUGUGUGUGCACAUGUGCGAGUGCGCGUUUGCCCGUGCGGAUUGAUGUGCGUGUGCGUAUGUGUGUGUGCGUGUGUGCAUGUGUGCAUGUGUGUGUAGAUGUGUGUAUGCAUGUGUGAAUGUGUGCGUGCGUUCAUGCGUGUGUUCGUGUGUGUGCAUGCACAUGUGCUUGUGUGUGUGGGUGUGUGCAUAUGCUUGUGUGUGCAUGUCACAGUGUGCGUGUGCCCAUGUGGGUGUGUGUGUGUGUGCGUGUCUGUGACUGCACAUGUGCCCGUGUGGGUGGAUGUGCGCGUGCGCGUGCGUGCAUGUGUGUGUGGAUGUGUGCAAAUGUGCAUGUGUCCGUGUGGGUGGGUGUGCGCGUGCGUGCAUGUGUGUGUGGAUGUGUGCAAAUGUGCAUAUGUCCGUGUGGGUGGGUGUGCGUGUGUGUGUGUGUGCACGUGCGUUCAUGUGUGUGUUCGUGUGCGUGCAUGCGCAUGUGCCUGUGUAGGUGGGUGUGGGUGUGUGUGAGUGCGCAUGUGCCCGUAUGGGUGGACGUGCGUUCAUGCGUGUGUUCAUGUGUGUGCAUGCGCAUGUGCGCAUGUAUGUGGGUGUGUACGUAUGCGUGUGCGCGUGUGUGUGCUUGUGUGUGUGUGUGAAAGUGUGCGUGUGUCUGUGUGGGUGUGUGUGUGCUCGUGUGUGUGAGUGCGUAUGUGUCCGUGUGGGUGAGUGUGCAUGUACGCAUGCGUGCAUGUGUGUGGGUGUGUGUGUGUGCAUGUGUGCAAGUGCGCAUAUGUUUGUGUGGGUGGGUGUGUGUAUGUUCGUACAUGUGUGUGUGUGCGCGUGCGUGUCUGGAUGUGUGCUUGCGUUCAUGCGUGUGUUCGUGUGCGUGCAUGUGUGUGUGUGCAUGUGUGCAAGUGCGCAUAUGUUUGUGUGGGUGGGUGUGUGUAUGUUCGUACAUGUGUGUGUGUGCGCGUGCGUGUCUGGAUGUGUGCGUGCGUUCAUGCGUGUGUUCGUGUGCGUGCAUGCGCAUGGGCGUGCAUGUGUGUGGGUGUAUGCAUGUGCGUGUGCGAGUGCACGUGUGCCAAUGUGGGUGGGUGUACGUGUGCUUGUGUGUGUAUGAGUGCACAUACGCCUGUGUGGGUGUGCGUGCGUGCAUGUGUGUCGAUGCGUGUGUGCCCAUGUGGGUGGGUGUGCGUGUGCGAGUGCAUGUGUGUGCACGUGUGUGCGCGUGCGUAUGUGUUUGUGUGUGUGCAUGCGUAUUUGUGCGUGUACGUGUGCUUGUACGCGCAUGUGUUUGUGUAUGCGUGUGCAUGUGUGCGUGUGUGCAUAUGUGUGUGCACACUGCCUUCACAUGGAUGUCAAAGAAGCAACCCAUUGUUACUCUCUCUACGUGUGAAGCAUAAUAUGUGGUUGCUACCUCAUGUAACUUGGUUGAGAAAUCUAUUAAAGGAGUUAUGAUAUUGCCAAAAGAAGAGCCAACCAGAAGUUUUCAUAGAUAACAAAUCAACAAUUGCUUUGGCCAAAAACUAGUUUUCCACAACCAGAAUAAAGCACAUUGAUACACAUUAUUAUUAUAUUAGAGAGUGCAUCAGAAGAAAGGAAGUAUAGUUAGAGUGCGUGAAGACUCGUGAUCCAGUAGCCAACAUUUUCACUAAGCCUCUUAAAAAAGAAGAAUUCACAAAAUUGAGAGACAUGCUUGGAGUAACAAAAUCAAGUUUAAGAGAGGAUGUUGAAAUAUAAACUUGAUUUUGGGUUUAACAAUAUUUAGGCAUAGCCCAAAUAAAAGCCAAAUUUCUAUAAAGUAUUAAUUACUAUAAUAUUCUAGAUAAAUCAAUUGUAGGAGAUAUUUAGAGAAGAUUGAAGAUACAUUUAGAAAAUAUAAGAAAUGAGUGUAAUUGUAAAGAAUAUUCUAGAGAGUCAUUUGUAACCGUUAAAUAAAGAAUGUGUUGCCAAAAUCCUAGCCAUUCAUUUAGGAGUGACAACUAGGAUAAAUAAGAGGGAUGUCCUUCGACUUGUAUUAAGUCAAAAAAAUAGAAGUGUCUAAUAACACAAGUAGCCUCUUAUCUCAAUUCUCUCUUCCAAAUUUCUUCCAACCUCCAAAAAUCCUUUCCAACAGUGUAUCAUUGUAUGAGUUAGUAGUAGUAGAAAGAGGAGGGCGAUAUUUGUUGGCUUCAUCCCGUCUUUUAGGCUUAUAGAAGGUAGUUUGGGAGGGGGUGUUCACUAAAGUUGAUGCCAAAUCUUUGUUUUUGGAGGCAUAAAAAAAUGAUGAAAUUGUUAAGCAACUCUUAGAAAACAAUACAAUUUGACAUUUUAUAGUUGAGGAAUUGAUCUGAAGAUUGAUAAGCUUAUUUGCUUGGACUAAAAAAGUUUGUUUAAUUUUUUUAAAAAAUGAAAAUGGCUACAAUUAGGUUUUUCUCCCAGCGUUACUAAAGUUUGAUUGAAAUGCCUUCAGAUUUAAAUUUCUAAAUGGUUUGUUGAAUUAGUGUUUAAUUAUCUCAUAGGUUAACUGUCGCUCUUACUAUUGAUGCGUGACUACAAUUGGUAUGUCUGAAAGUGAAACCUAAACCUUUCCUUCACUAGAAGAAAUAUGGGCUUUAGUGUCAGGUGAAAAAAAUGAAAAUUUGGCUUUAAUGUCAUUUCUGAAAAGACGGAUCAUUAAUGUCGGUUUUAAAUCGACAUUAAUGAUAUUUCCAUUUUUAAUUUUUAAAUUUUUUUUUAUUAUGUGAAAACUGACAUUAAAGACCCUUCCCCUUUUUAAUUUCUUUUUUAAUUUUUUUAAGUUGUAAAAAUUAAAUUUCCCUCUCUCUCUUACUUUACCCAUUCCUAUCAAAAUUUUCUCUCUCGAUUUCGAAUUUCCUUCUCCCUUCUCUUCUCAUUCUAUGACCUAAAACUCAUCGUCGUCUUUGUGCCCAUAAUUCAUCCCAAUCGCCGUCGUGGCUAAAACUCUUCCUUCAAGUCUUUCUCCGUCGCCAUUGUGCUUUGGCUAUCGAGAAACGCCUCUGUUGUGCUCAAUCAUCUUCGACCAUUCGCAGUCGCCCAAAACUCUUCCUUCAAGUCUUUCCCAGUCACAGUCGCCGUCGUGCUUCCGCCGCAAGAGUCCCUCGUGUCCAAUCAUCUUCAAAUCCACCACCAUAGCCACCACCGUGCCCAGCCAUUGCAACCAUCGCGUGCCCAGCCGUCAUCUUCGGCUAGCACAGGGCAGACCAAGACAGAGGGCAACUCAACCCGUGAAUACCAAUCUGGUAUUACUUCAUCAGACAUUGGACGAAAGGGAGUGGACUACAGAGGCCCUUUCGAGCCUUCUUCUGGAGGUUCAAAGAAUUUUCAUACGCUUUUUUUUAGGCAUCAAAAUAGAUCAUUGAAUCAAUCUUUAGUAGGUUCUAAUUUCUGUUGUCUGCUUUUUGUUAUUAACAUAUUGGUAUGUGGAUUUAGUUUGGUAAGAAAAUGUAAUGGUAAAUAGAGAGUUGAUUUGGAAGAUAUGAAGAGGAAGUGGGCAGUGGGUUAAUGGAGAUUGGGGUUUAAAGGUAAAGAAGGAAAGUACCAAAGAGAGUGAAGAAAUGAAAUAGUGAAUGAUAAAUAUAAAAGGUAACUACAAAUAAGAGAAAGGGAGAGAUUUAGUUUAGCAUUGUUUGGAAAUUGGAACGUAAUAUUCACUUCUCUAUUUUCCUCAAUUUAAUUUAGGAUUAACUUUUGAGACAUUUUUCACUGACUUCGUGUUAUUAACAUAUUGGUAUCUGGAUUAUUUUGGUAAGAAAAUGUAAUGGUAAAUAGAUAGUGUUGAUUUGGAACUUAUGGAGAUGUAGUGAGAAGUGUGUUAAUGGAGAUUGAGGUUAAUAGGGUGAAGACUAGAUUUAUAUUAAGUGUGUUAUAGGGACUGUAAGUUCAUCUUUUGUUUUUAAACAUAUAAUAAUUAUUUGUGUUUUAUUUCUAUUUCUCUAAUCUUAAAAUGUUCUUAUUAAUUCUUAUACUUUAGUUUAUGUAGUAGUAAUCUUUGUUUAUUUCAAGUUUGGAAAUUUAUUUGACAAAGGUUUAAUGUUGGAGACUACACUUGUAACAUCUCGAACUCUAGGGUACCUUAUUAUAUAUAUGUGUGUAUAUAUAUCUUUUUUUUUAGAAAAGAAGUUAAGGGAGAAAGAGAUUUGGAAGGUUAAGAUAAUAAUAAUAUACAUUUAAUAAUAUUGUUAUUGUUGGAAUUUUUUGUCCUAAAACUCGUAGUUUGUAAAUCAUAUUCUAUUCAAUAAAGUUGUUAUUGAGAAAUUAAAUAUUAUAAUCUUAAAUCCAAUAAAUCAAAGUUCCAAGGCUAUUUUUUGAAUAAACUUGAACUUUAUGUGUAAACAUAAACGUGGAUCAAGUUCGAGUAUAUAGCCUAAAUAGUCUAUAGUAUAUGAAAUAAAGGUUGGGCGCCUUAUUUUGAGAGACUAUGGAUGCGGCCCACUUUGUUGUACAAACGAAGUGAUCCUAAUCGUUCAUGUAGAGACAUGAAAGUGGGGGCAUCCUAUGUAAAAUGUUUACAUAAGACUGAACCAUGAAUUAGUCAUUUUUACGUUAUAACACCGUUUACUGUUUAAAACUGACUAUCUCAAUUACUGAUGACCUAGGUAACUUAGUCUUAAUCCUGAGUUAACUAUGAACUCCUGUUCAUACGAGAUUAUCCUUAGAUCUGCAUAGGUGAGGGCAGCUCAUCAGCGUUGGCCCAAUAAGCCUCCCAUUUCAGGGGUAAGAUCGGGUGGAUAGCUGGGAACAUAGGGUACAAGAUGGAAUUCACUCCUACCCGCUUUAGGGUUAGUAGAUAGGUUGCUCUCUUAAGCACUGAAUCCAAGUCUUGAACAAGGGGCCCCACCCUCUCAUUGGCCCGAGAGGGAUUAAGUUUAUAGGUUGAACCUUAAACCAAUUGUUCAAUAGUGGAUUAGUGGGACUUAAGGAGCAAGAUGUAAUCUUGGGGGUAAAACGGUAUUUUGACCCAGCCAAGGUUACGAGCAACCUGUGAAGGAUUAACUUACUGAUUAUGGUUUUAUCAAAUGGACACAAAUAUAUCUAUAGUGAGGGGAGUGCAACUACGGGACUUUAGUGGAAUGACCCGUUAGUUAACGAAUGUUGAUUAACUCGGUUUAAAAGAGUUUAGCUAGUUAAUCUUGAAUCGUUGGAGCCCAUGAUCUAUAGGUCCAUUAGGUUCCUCUGCUAGCUCAUAUGGAUUAAACUUAGAACAGUGUGAUGAAAUAAGUCGAAUUGUUCGAAUAGGGAGAAGAAAGGAAAACCGACAUAUACAGUGAUAUAAUCGUCGGUCUUCUAAUUAGAAAUAGAGCUUUAUGUUUUACAUACUAUAAGUAUGAAUGUGGAUUCAUACUAAGAAGCUCGGAAUUGGUCAAAAAUAGUAAAAAGUCAAAAUGUUGACUUUUGACUUUGAAAAGUCAAACUUUGACCGGCCUUAUAUUCAAAUGUGAUUUGAAUUUUGGAAAAAUGAAUGCGGAUUCAUGCUCGGGAGGUUGGAA
rnacentral:lncRNA from 1 species